GAGGAGGUGGUGGUGGAGACUUGUACUUGUAAGGGUACUUGGGUGGUGAUGGCGGUGGAGGUGGUGGAGACUUGUACUUGUAAGGGUGCUUGGGUGGGGAUGGAGGUGGUGGUGGGGGAGACUUGUACUUGUAAGGAUGCUUUGGAGGUGAUGGUGGUGGUGGUGGUGGAGACUUGUACUUAUAAGGAUGCUUUGGUGGUGAUGGUGGUGGAGGUGGUGGGGACUUGUACUUGUAAGGGUGCUUGGGUGGUGAUGGUGGUGGAGGUGGUGGAGACUUGUACUUGUAAGGGUGCUUGGGUGGUGAUGGUGGUGGAGGUGGUGGAGACUUAUACUUGUAAACUGGAGAUGGUGGGGGUGGAGACUUGUACUUGUAAGGGUGCUUGGGUGGUGAUGGUGGUGGUGGUGGGGACUUGUACUUGUAAGGAUGCUUGGGUGGUGAUGGUGGUGGAGGUGGAGGAGACUUGUACUUGUAAGGAUGCUUGGGUGGUGAUGGUGGAGGAGGUGGUGGAGACUUAUAGUUGUAAACAGGAGUUGGUGGGGGAGGAGAUUUGUACUUGUAAGGCUUCUUGUGUGGUGGUGGUGGUGGAGAGUAGACCGGAGGAGGCGGUGGUGGAGACUUGUAAUGGUAAGGUGGUGGUGGGUACUUCUUAGGUGGUGGUGGAGGAGAAGAAUAAGUGUAAUCUGCUGAGGUUUCAAAAGGCAAAUUGAGAGACACUGCUAAAACUAAAAGAGUGAGAAAGAGAGAGGUCAUUGAUGACCCCAUUUUCCCCAUCCUUACUUCUAAAAAUGGGUUUAAUUUGGUUAUGCUCUUAGCAGCCCUCUUCACUCCCUUUAUAUAGACUUUGUUUUAAAGUUACAAUCAUGAUAAAAGUGUGAAGGUGGACCGAACCUUCAGCAGCAUUGAAAAAAGACGUUACGUUUAGGUUAUUAGCAUGGUAUGACAUAAUAAUUCUCUAUUCUCUUCCUUGUCGUUUCCCAUAAAUUUAAUUUAAAUAGUCCAUUUGCUAUAUUUAUAUUUCUGUUUCUCUAUUAAAUAUUUAUCAAAUUCAUUUCUCACUCCUUAUAGAAUAUGAAUAAUUAAUCAUUAAACUCGAUUUAGUAAAUACUUUAAAAAAUGAUUUAUCUUAUUUUUAUGCUUUAAUUAAGGCAUCAAAUCAUUAAUCCCAUUUGAUAUUAUGAAAAUUUAUCACUUAAUUGAUCAAAAUGUGAUUCUUGGCAGGAAAACAUAAUUUACUUUCCUUAAAAUGUAAUUUUUAUUGAGAGUUAUUUUUCCACUAACAAUAGAAAGUGAUUCUCUUUAUAAUUCGUGAAAAAAUUACUUUCACAUGUAAAUAAAAAUUGUUAGGAUAAAAUUAACUUUUCUUUUAUUUAUGUUAAGGUUACUAAUUAACUUAUUCAACUUUAAUAAAAGAUAAACAUAGUUGUAGCUUGUUUGUUGAUGUUAGUUUUUUGUCUUUACAACUUCAAACCAUUAUUCUAGUGUAAUUUUUUUUUCUUUCUAAAUAGUAGAUAAGUAUCUAUAUUUUAUUUUGCUAUAAGAAAAUUAUAUUUUUUAGCAUACAAAACUUAAGAUAACUUGUAGAAUCAAGUAGUUGUAUACCUAUUACUCUAGCAAUAAUAAUAUUGACAUUGUCUACUUUCAAAUUAAAAUUUCAAAUUAGUUCAUUGCCCAAUUUUCUCAUUAAAAAAAAUUAUAUAUAACAUGUCAACUUAACGAAACUUACAUGAAAUUUUGUAUGUGUUAAAAAUGAAAAAUAUGGCGGUUAUUAAAAAAGAUGUCAUACAUCUAAAUCAAACUACUAAUUUAAAAAUUAGUAUUGAGAUAAUUUCAAGCCAUAUAUGCAAUAUUUGAGUAUACUUGAACUUAUACAUACAAAUUAGUGAGGAUUAAAAUUUUGUAAAUUGUACAUCUUCACAAUCUUGCGUUAAUAUACAAUUUUUUUAAUGUAUUAAUAUAAUGUUUUAGAUCAAGACGUGAAAAAACAUAAUUCAAAUAUUUGUUAAUAGUAAAAAAUUAUUAAUAAAUAUUUAAUUCAAAAUUUAUUAAUAAUAAAAAUUAUUGAAAAAUAUUAAAUACGUUAAUAUUAUUUUUAUUUAAUAAUGAUACUUUUGUACAGUAAUCUUAUAUUCCCAAAUAAGUGUUAAAUGUGUCAAGAUUUUAAUCAAUACUUUCCGGUGAUUACCAAACGUUGUGAAGUAACUUCUUAAACAAUAAUAUUCUUAUCAAUCACAUUCCAUUAAAAUUUUAACAUAGAAAAGCACCAAAACGCCCCCUUAAAAUCGUGGUAAGUCUUGUUUGUCUAAAAUUUAAAUAUUUAUUUUAUUAUUUAAAAUAUAUUAAUUUUCUAAAAAAAAUCAUUAAUAUUUAUAUUUCUAAUUUUAAACAUUCUUUUGUUAAUUAAAUGAUAGUCUAAACGGUUAAACUCAAAUCGAAAGCAUUUUAUCUUAUAUUAGAUUAUAUGAAUCAUAUUAUGGUUGAAAGUAAAAUGUAUAAAAUCAAUACAAACAUCAAAUAUUAAACUUCCACUCAAUAGAUUUUAAAAUUUCUAAUUUUAUCACUAAUCUAUUUUAAGAUUUUUUUAAAAAAAAUCGUACUUUAGAUUAUCUAAUUUAAAAUUUUAUAAAAUUAUUAAAAAAUAUUCUUGUAAUAAAAAAAAUUUGUUUUAAAAUUUUUAAUUUUUUAUAUAACCAAUGAAUUUUUUACGUUUGUUUUAACUGGUUAUCUAAACAAAAUAAAAACUUAUUUAGUUUAAAUAAAGUGGUAAAUGUGAAAGCACCACAAAUCACAACUACAUUAGUUUUAUAAUUGGAUUAAUUUAAUCACCGGCAGAGGAAAUGUGUUAGUUCUAGCUACCAACAAUUCAUUUUAAUUCCUUUAAAAAUAUUAGAAAAAACCAAUUUGAUUUUUAAUAAUAGAUCUAAUUACUUAAAGGAACAUGGGUGAUGUGCACAUGGCAUACAAGCAUAAAAAAGAACAAAAAGAUUAAGUAUCUUUGCAAAAUAUCUCUCUCUGAAAUAAAUAAAACUUAAAAAAAAACAAUUUUAUUAUCAAAAUAAAAAGAAAAUAGUGUUUUUCUUCACAAAAAAAGAAAAGAAAAGAAAUACUAGUGUUUUUAAUUAAAAUAGAGUGAUCUGGGUAGAAUCUUUUACUUAAAUACUGACAUUGACUUUAUAAGCUAUUUUUUAUCAAAAGAAGAAAGAGAAAAGCAUCCGAUUGAAGAUGUGAAUUAUUAAGUUAAAAUUAAUCAUACAUGUAAAAUAUUAUUGUGCUUUUUUCUAGCCCUCCGAAAGACAUUAUGCUUUGAUUACAACAUUCUUCCUCAGAGAUGAGGUUUGAAGAUGAACUCGGAUGCAUUUAGAUUUUUACAAGACGAAAGUAAAUUAAAGGAUGUUAGUACUUGUAUUCCGAUACGCUUAUAAUACAGAAAGCAAGUAAUAUGUGACUGUACAUAAUGGCUAUGAGGCGAGGAUAUGAUACGAGAAGAUAGAGAUGAGAGAUUGCACUUAAGGGGUUAGCACCUCUUUUCUUUUUGUGUUUGGUCCCCAAAGCAUAUCUCUUAUUGGCUGAUGUUGCAAGGCGGUCCCAUAAGUUGGGCUAAAAGUGCUUGAUAGCUAGAAUUAAUAUUGUGGUAUAACAUAUGUCACCCCUAUAUUUGAAUAAGGUUACAAAGUGACUACUUGAAGAUUUAAAAAAGCAUGGAGAUAAUUUUGUUGCGAAAAUUAAAAGUAAGAGCUAAAUUGUUUGGCUUUAUUAGAGUAUAGACUCUGUUAGUCUAUUAUCAUUUUGUUAUAUAGGCUGGAAUAUUAUUAGUAAGCAGUUAGCAGCAGUUAGUCAUACAAGUAUAAAUUCUAUUCAUGUAUUGUUCAAAGAUAAGCUAAUAAUACCAGAAGAGAUUUAACAUGUUCAUUCUACUUUUUUUUGUUAUUCUUCAUAAUACAGUUGUUAACAUGGUCUCAGUCGCCAAAUUUCUUGGAGGUUGCUUCUAUUGUAGAUCCAUGGCCAAUUCCACUGAUUCUACCUUCGCUGGUCGUAGCAGUCCCUCAUUCUCAGUUCAUGUUUGGUUCAAUCGUUUCCUCGUCAUGGCACUGUGAAGUUAGAUGAAGGAAAUUUUGUACAAUGGCAACAGCAUAUCCAAUUGAUAAUUGAAGGAUAUGAACUCAUAAGAUUUUUAGAAGGGACGUUACCUGCUCCGCCUCGCUUUGUGUCAUCUCCGGAUGGAAACUUAGCUCUGACUCCCGAUGCAUCCCUGUUUGUUCAGCAAGAUAAGUUACUCGCUUAUUGGUUACUUUUUACGAUUAGUGCUCCUUUGUUUUCUUGUUUUACAACUGCUAAGACGGCGUGUGAGGUUUGGAGCACUGCGAAUUGCCUAUUUGCUGCUGCCACUAGAGCCAAGCUUUCGCGUAUUAAGCAUGAACUCCAGUCCAUCACGAAAGGCGUGAUGACUAUCAAAGAGUAUAUUGCUAAGAUUCAAAAUACUUGUGCGUUACUCGAGGAAUCUAGAUCAGUGGUUUUAAAGGCUGAAAAGGUAGAGAUCAUUCUUGCCGGCCUAUUGUCUGAUUAUGAUGUCGUUUUAACUCUGGCAUCGUUCUCAACUGAAACUUUUUCGUUAUAAAAGAUUGUUGAUAUGCUUCUGGAGUUCGAAAGCCAUCAGACUCAAGCGGUGAACGACGUACCUUUUCAUGCUCAUUUGGUAGAGGCCACUUCGGCGACAUCCGUGGAGGACUCCGUACGUGGUGGUCGUCCUCCUUCUGGUGCUCGUAGGCGCGACUUUCGAUCUCAGCUUCAGUGCCAGGACUAUGGUUGCUAUGGACAUUUGGUACAAUGCUGUUAUUAUCAGUUCAACCGCGACUACAGUGAUCUGUCUGUUUUGACCAUGGCGCGGGUUUCGCCUGUUCAUGCUGAUCACAAUUAGCAUAACGAUGUUUUUGGCGCAAGUGGUCUCUCGACUAGCUGGUUUUCAUCAACUUGUCCUGGUCCGGACCCGUUCGUGCCUGGACAGUAUGUCGAUUCUUUGGUGGUGACACCGGCGUAUUUCUCUUAUGGCUCAUCAUGGUGAGGGUGGCCACAUUUGCAAAACAAUGCCUCCCUUGUGCCAAGUUUGUUGAAUGUUAAGGUUUCUAACCCUUUUGCUCAUAAUUUUGACGAUGGGGCAGGCUAGGUGUUUGGGCUCGCUGUUGGACCAAGCUCAAAUUGUGGCCAAUUUGGUGGUCCUCACUUACCGCGGAGAAUGGGCCAGCACGUUAGGCCAUUUGCUAGUGUUCCUAGGCCGACUGGUUCAGGCCAAGAUUUUGGGCCAUAUGGAAUUCGUAGGCUAACCAGUGCUGGUCCUAACAUUGGACAGGGUUCACUUGGGCCAAAUGUUAAUUUUGUUAGACUUGAGGGCUCUUUUGGGCAUGGACAAGGACUUUGGCCCACCACUGGCAAUGUUUCAGUGCCAAAUAAUGGGUCAUGCGUUCCAUGGCGCACUAAACUGACGGCGCACAUUAUUGAUUGAUUUCUCACUGUGUGUUGGGUUGCCUCACAUUCUUGAUUUUCAUGUGUCUGAUAUUUUUACUACCUCUGGGUCCAAUGCUAACACGACUCCGUAUGGGUCUAAUUUUGAUAAUGAUAACUCUUACAUUCCUAUGCCUGUAGGGACCUUGUCCUGGUGUCUUAAUUCAGGGUCUAUACAUCAUGUCUAUCGAGAAGCCUCUACCUUGAACGAGUCUACGCCAUACUCAGGUACAUCUCCUCUCCUCAUGGAUGAUAUUACUCCUACAAAAAUAUCAUGUGUUGGAAACUCUAUCUUGCCUACGAAGACUAAGCUGUUUCAUCUAUCUAAUGUUUUGUGUGUGCCAAAUAUACGGAAGAAUCUGCUAUCUGUCUCUCAAUUUGCUAAUGACAAUAAUAUGGUCUUUGAAUUUCACCCGUCUUAUUGAGGACAUCCAGACUCAGGAAAUUUUGCUUCGGGGCCACACUCGUGAUGGGCUCUAUUAUUUUUCGUAGGUUACUCAUGUUCCGUCUGUCGUUGUUCCUUCUGUUCACAACACUGGGCUCCAGAGUCGCAAUGCCGGUGAUGAUGUUUUUACGUUAUGGCACUACAGACUUGGUCAUCCGUCUGCCUCGAUUGUUAAACUUGUUCUCGAUAAGUGUCAAGUUGUUUCAACUAAAAUGUACCUUGAAAAUAUUUGUAUUGCUUGUCAAAAGGGGAAGUCCCAUAAACUGUCUUUUUCAAGUUCUACUACUAAAUAUACGGAUUUGUUUGAAUUGGUUGUCUUUGACUUAUGUGGACUGGCAUCUGUUGUCUGUAGAAAUAAUCUGUAUCAUGUUUCGUUUAUCGACAUGUGUAGUUAUUUUACUUGGAUUUAUCUCAUUAAACGUAAUUCUAAGGAGGUUGAAUGUUUUCUUCAGUUUCAGAAAAUGGUCAAAACUCAGUUUGGGAAAGAUAUUAAAAAAAUUCAAAGUGAUUGGGGUGGUGAGUUUCUUGCCUUUACGUCAGUUCUGGCUAGUCAUGGGAUACUUCAUCACCUCUCCUGUCCAUAUACAUCCGAGUAGAACGAUGUAGCUGAACGAAAACAUCGACACAUUGUUGAGAUGAGUCUUAUUCUAUUGGCCAAAGCUAACCUAUCCAUGGAUUUCUGUGGUUUCGUAUUUUACAAUGCCAUUCAUCUCAUUAGUCUUCUACCGACCCUAGUUCUGAAAGGUCAGUCUCCAUAUCAGGUUCUUCAUGGUAGUGACCCUACAUAUGAUCAUUUACAAGUAUUUAAGUGUUGUUGAUUUUCGUACCUGCGUCUGUUUCUGCAACACAAGUUGGAUUUUCAUUCUCAGCCAUGCAUAUUUUUUAGGUAUAGUUCUCAACAUAAAGGCUAUCACUGCCUCACACCAAAUGGUAAGGUCAUUGUCUCUCGUCAUGUUGUGUUUGAUGAACGUUGGUUUUUCUUUUCUUCAAAUGCUGUGAACACCGUUCAGUUAAGUCCAUGUAUCUCUACAUAUGUUCCUAUUGUUCGGUCUUCAUCUUGCCGCCCCACGACAUCUUCGCUUGUUCGACCCACUGAGUCAUCGACUCUUGCUCCUAAUUGUAGUUCCACGCUGUCUGUUUCAGUUGACACUCCGGCUGAAUUAGGUUUUACUCAUGAGGUGCAUCGGCUCUCUACCUCAUCCCUUGAAUCUCGUCAAUGCGAUCCAACUACAAUUCCAUUGGCUGUUCCAUCUAUUUCUCUGGAAUACUCAUAACACUAUUACUCAGCUAGACCCAAAGCUCUGUCUGUUGAAAUUGUCAACUGUGAGUCGAUCACGAUUGAAGAGGCGCUCGCUAGUAAGGAAUGGCAAUUAGUUGUCCAAGCUGAGUUUGUUGCUAUAAUGGUUAACUCCACUUGGGAGCUUGUUCCCUUACCUCAUGGUCGAAAAGUGAUUAGGUGUAAGUGGCUUUUUAAAAUAAAAAAAUCCUGAUGGGACUAUCACUUGACGUAAGGCUCGGUUGGAAGCAAAGGGUUGUUCUCAGGUACUCAGGUGUGAUUUCAAGGAAACCUUUAGUUUGGUAGUUAAACCUGCUACUAUUAGAACCAUAUUAUCUGUUGCUAUCUCCAACGGUUGGCAAUUUGGUCAGGUAGAUGUGAACAAUGCUUUUUUAAAUGGUGAUCUUAUUGACGAAGUGUUCAUGCAGCAACCUCUAGGCUAUGUUCAGAUUGGUCAAAAUGGUGAGCCCUUGGUGUAUCAUUUGACAAAGGUGUUGUACAGAUUAAGACAAGCUCCACGUGCUUGGUUUGAUAAAUUGAAACGUUUUUUUGUUUCUAUUGGAUUUGCUUUAUCCAAAUCUGAUGUAUCCUUAUUUGUUCAAGUUAAUUCGAAUCCACUAUUUAUGUUUUAGUCUAUAUGGAUGAUAUUAUCGUUACUAGAAGUACGAUCGACGGUAUAAAUGGCUGUAUUCAAUAGUUACAUAAUGUGUUUCCCUUAAAGAUAUGGGAGAUCUUUACUACUUCUUAGGCAUUGAAGUCACUCGGUAGUCCACUGGGAGUCUCCAUUUGUGCCAACGCAAAUACAUUCGGGAUCUUCUUGACAGUAGUUUUUUAGCUAAUGCAAAGAGUGUUCACACACCGAUGGUUAGUUCUUUUACGUUGUUUAAAGAUGUGGGAGAUCGCCUCGUUGAUCCUACUGGAUAUAGAAGUCUUGUCGGUGUAUUACAAUAUGUGGUCUUGACUCUGCCUGAUAUUGCUUAUGCUAUAAAUCAUGUUUGUCAAUUCAUGCAUGCCCCUACUACAGUACAUUUGGUGGCUUUGAAAAGAAUCUUGCACUAUUUAUGUGACACUAUUAAUCAUGGGUUAAUUUUGUCUGUUCAACAUAUUGUCUUUAGUUGGCUAUGCUAAUGCCAACUGGGGACUGGAUUUUGAUGAUCGUAAAUCAACAACAAGCUAUUGUUUGUAUUUUGGGUAUACACCCAUCUCUUGGUGAUCUAAGAGACAACUCUACUGCGUGAGGCGAAGUAUUUUGGCCGCACCAUGGCUGAGGUGAAGUAUCGAAGUCUAGCAACAACUACCAGUGAUGUUACUUGGUUAGUCUCUCUACUAACAAAAUUACAGAUUCAUUCUAUAGAUCCACAUACUAUUUGGCGUGACAACUCUAAUGCAGUAGCGGUCAUUGCUAAUCCGGUCUGACACUCUAAAUUUAAACAUGCCAAGCUUGAUCUAUUUUUUGUUCGCGAAAAGGUCGCUAAUGGUUCUCUCGUUGUCGGUGAGAUUCUAGCAUGUGAUUAAGUUGCUGACAUUCUCACAAAACCACUGUUCGUCUCUACUUUUGCUAGGUUUCGUAGUCUGCUUCAAUUCUUACCUCUUGAGAAGCUGGGUGAAGCCAGGUGAAUAUUAGAGUAUAGACUCUGUUAGUCUGUUACCAUUUUGUUAUUCAGGCUGGAAUAUUGUUAGUAAGCAGUUAGUCAUAGCAGUUAGUCAUACAAUUAUAAAUUCUAUUCAUGUAUUGUUCAAAGGUAAGCUAAUAAUACCAAAAGAGAUUUAAUGUGCUCAUUCUACUUUCUUUGUUAUUCUUCAUAAUACAGUUGUUAACAUGCUUGAUAUCAUCUCUUAGAGAGAACGAGGAGAGAUAAGAGUAAGAGUAUGAGCCAACUAGGGAUAAGGCUCUACCAUAAUACCUUGGAUGCAAUUAAAGUAAGAGUAAGAGCCAACUUGUUUGGCUUGAUAGCAUCCCCUUAUAGAAAAGGCUCUACCGCAUGGCAUGAGAGCAAUAAAAGUAACACUCAAUUUCUUGGGUUGAUAGCAUCUCCUUAGGGAAAAGGGUUUACCAUGUGACAUGAAAGCAAUUAAAGUAAGAGUAAGAUCCAACUUGUUUGUCUUAAUAGCAUCAUUUAAGAGAAAUAUCCCAAUCAAUUUAUUCAAAUAUGUUAAUCAAAUAAUGCAAGUUACAAUGUUCUGUCAGUUUUUCCUUUAAUUGUAACUGGGUUAAAGUUGGUAGUUGUAACUGCUACUAAUAGAAUGGAUACGGUAGAAAUGGUUGCAAGCAACAUAAGCAAAGAUGACUUUAAUGUCUUUGUAUUGACCACGUGAGAACUAUAGAAUGCAGAGAAUAGUAUGGUGAUUGGCAACAGAAUGCUACUAACCUUGAGGAUAGUAGACAGGGAUGGAUCCACGGGGGUUGGGGGCGGUCCCCCCUUGGAAUUUUUAAAAUUUUAAAUUUUAUAUAUAAAUUAUCAUGUAUUUUAAAUUUGGUGUCCACAUUGUAUAGCAUUCACCCCCCUUUUCCAAAUUGCAUUUCAUAUCAUUUGCCCUCUUAAGCCAUAAGGUUAUACUUUAUAUUAACAAAGUAUUUUCCAUUUUUUAAUUAUAUAAAUUUAAUAAUAAUAAUAAUAAUCAAAUAUUAAUAUAUGAUUGGCAUUGAAAGACUAAACAUAAAGGUCCAGUUGAGACUUUAAAGCCAAAUUCCAUAAUUAAUUAAUUGAUUUGGCCCAUACCAGUACAUAUUAGGUUAGCGAAAUUCUUGUAUUUUGAUUUGUAUGUCUUGCUAAGGAAUUAUCUUCCUUUGGUAAGGUGUUGACACUGCCAAGAGAAAAAGAAAGGAUUUUGAUGUCGAGAUUGUGAGCAUAGAGUAAAAAAAAUACAAAUUAUCUUCCUCUUAGCUCCUUAUGGAAAAAACCUCUCGGUAAAUAUUUUUGCAUAAAUUAUGUUUUUUAUUAAUUUGACUUAGUUUUUUUCUUUUUUCCUAAUACAUUGUUGUUUAAUAUAUUCUUACAAUCAUCAGGUUUUUUGACUAAAUUAUGGUCAAUAAAAACAUCGAAUCUAUUUAAAAAAAAAGAGUGUCAGAAAGCAAUAAUGAUCAACCGGUUCCUCAACCUUCCAUUAUUAGUGAAGAAAAAUCAAAUAUCGGAUCUUCCAAAGCUCUUGAACAAAAUAUCAGGUCUUCUUAAGCCCAAGCUCCUAAAUGCGGUAUGGAGUCUUCCCCAACUCCUGAACGAGAUUGUAACAAUCCAUACCCAAUUCGAUCACCAAAUCCAAGUAGAGAGCGCCGCAACUUAAACCAUAUGAAUUGAAUAAUAAAUAUUUGAAAUUUAUUAAAGUAUCGAGUUCUUGGUGUAACCCUCAGUAUAACAAUACGAAACAAUUAAAUCAAUGAUACGCCAGGAAAAAAUGUUUUUAGGCAAAACACAUGGCGGAAGCCUUACAAAAUUUUAUAAGUUUAUAUAAAAUGUAAGAUGAGUUAAUCCCAUACAACAGUUUCAAGUGCAUCGUUGGCGGUUAAAAGAACAUUCAAAAACUAUUCGGCGUAUAUGCCAAUGAGACAAUCACGUGGAACAAGAUAUAGUAGCUUAAACACAUACAUCACUUACCACGUCAUCAUAACAUAUACUAACCAUAUAAACAAACUUAUCGAGCUGCGAACUAACAAGUUCACCCAAACAUCUAGGGUUAGCGAUAACUUAUUAGAAGAGCCCGCCAAACCCUAGAGUUCGCCAAAACCUGGAGUUCACCAAAUGGCGACUCCCAUAGAAUACGCCAAACACACAACCAAAAAUAAAUACUCUACUAAUUUACUCAUUUUAUAUUCUUAGCAUAAACAACUAUGCACCAAACAGUAACUUGAUACAUUAUCUUUCGGGCGAGUUGUUACAAUUCUCCCCCAUUUAGAAACUUUUGUCCUUGAAAUUCUUACCGGUGAAUAACUGAGGAUAUUGUUCUUUCAUCGAACUCUCUCUUUCCCAAAUGGCUUCUUUUGUAUUGUGAUUUAUCUAUAAUACAUUAACCAAAGGAAUUCUUUUACUUCUCAACUCUUUUACUUCCCUUGCUAAAAUACAAACAGGUUCUUCUUCAUAGGACAAGUUUUGCUCCACUUCCAGUGCUUUGACUUGUACCACAUAAUCUGGAUUGGAUUGAUAUUUUCUUAACAUAGAUAUAUUAAACACAUUAUGUAUAUUUGAUAACUCUGGUGGCAACACCAGUUUGUAUGCCACUGGACCAACUUAUUCCAAAAUCUCAUAUGGUUCUAUGAAAUGCAGACUUAAUUUCCCUUUUUGUUCAAACCUUAUGAUCUUCUUCCAAAGAGAAAACUUCAUAAAUGCAUUGUCACCCACUUCGAAAGAGAUUAUUUUCCUUUUUAGAUCAGCAUAAGCUUUCUGGCGAUCUUAAGUUACUUUCAGAUGAUUUCUAAUGAUAAAGACUUUCUCUUCUGUUUCUCAUACUAAAUCAAGACCAACUAUUUUCCUUUUACUGAGUCUCAUCCAAUAGGUAGGAGAUCUGCACCUUCGUCUAUACAAAGCUCCAAAUGGUAACAUUCCCAGACUGUCAUAAUAACUAUUAUUAUACGCAAACUCUAGCAAAGGAAGAUAUCUUUCUCAAUUCAUUCUAAAAUCUAUAAUACAACCUCUAAACAUGUCUUCUAGAACUUGAAAUACUCUUUCAAAUUGCUCAUCGAAUUAGGGAUGAAAGGUAGUACAGAAUCAUUAUUUCGUUCCCAACGAUUCUUGCAGUUGUCUCCAAAAUCUCAAUGUAAACAUUGGGUCUCGAUCUGAAACUAUGGAUGUUGGAAUCCCAUGAGGCGUACAACUUCAGAAACGUAGAGAUUAGCCAACUUUUCCAAUAAGUAAUUUGUGCGGACAAACAAGAUAUGGGCUAACUUAGUAAGUCGAUCUACAAUUACCUAGACUGAGUACUUCUUCGAAAGGAUGAGAGGGAGAGCCAAAACAAAAUCCAUGGUGAUCUUAUCCCACUUCCACAUAGAUAUCUCUAAAAGGUACAACUUGCCUAAGGGAACCUGAUGUUCUAUUUUAAUCUGCUGACAUGUCAAACAAAUGGAAAUGUACUUUGUUAUUUCUUUCUUCAUUUCAAGUCAGUAAUACAAACUUAUCAAAUUAUGAUACAUUUUAUGUAAAACUCUCAACCCAACUCGAAAUGUCGAGUCUGGAUCUCGGGUAUUACUAUACAUAAUACUUGGCAAAAUAUCAAAAUAGUUGACAAAUACUCUUUAUAGAAAACAUUUUCUUAUUAUUUUAACCAAAAGACUAAAUAUUUAAUAACAAGAGAAAAUAUUAAAAACAAAAAAAAAUUAUUACAUCAGACUUGGUACAACUCAUUAUAGUAUAAAAUUUUGUUAAAGACAUACUCUUGGGGCAUAACCCUAAUCUAAGCCACUUUUCCACUAUAUGCAUAAUAACCCACUUCGCCACUAUCUUGGCGUACUCCUAGCAUCGUCACUCCUAAUGCAUUCUCUACCCAUACACCUGAAAACAACAACAUUUUAAGCUUAAGAUAACUUAGUGACUUUUAUCCCAAAAAUACCUUGGCGAGUACUUUAUAUUAUUUGAAGAACAUUUGUGCGCCAUCUAUCCUUCUGAACCACCUUCUUCUGAAUUAAGUGGAUACUAUUAUAGAUUCAACUUUCACUUACACGCCAACUAUCAUACUCUUAACAAACUCACUUAUUCUAGAAUAGUUGUUCACAUAUAUUAAUCACUAAUUGAUACAUUCAUAUUUGGCGAAUACUUACGCAGAUCUGAAUACCAUCAAACUACUAAUCAAAUCAUACCUUGAUCCGAUACCAUACAAACUCAUACUGAUAAUGUACUACACAAAUUAUUCAAAUGAAUUUUCCACUACUUUGUUACAGGACCCCAGAUAAUCAUCAUAACAAUAACUCAAUUUUCAUAUGAUUUCAGAAGAAGAUAUAAUACAACCCAAAUACGGCAAAUUCCAGAUAACUCAGAUUCAACAACUGCUUAACACAUACGAACUCACAUUUAUAAUUUCUUAUGUCCCACAUAACUACGACUAUGUCUAUAUUCAACACUAACAAAUAAUCAUGACGGAUACCCUUCUUAUACAUAUAUGCAUUUCUUUUCUAGAAAUCUCUUAAGACUUACUCAAUUAUAUCACAUAUCUUAUUCAACCCUUAACUUUAGACAUAUCAUAACCCUAUCAUAUCAAUAUCUAUCACAAAAAAAAUCAGGAUUUAUCCAAAACUUACCAUAAAGGUAGAUAAUCAUAUUAUAUCAGACAAACUUAACUAAAUGUGCCACAAAGGCCAAACAAAAUAUGCCUUAAAGGCUUCAUACAAAAUCACGUGUUUACUAUCCCGACGGACUAUCACAAAAGGUGUCAUGGGUUUCUCCCACAUGGACUUAUACAUAAUUUCAUGUAUUGUGAUCUGCCAUUUUGAAUCAUACGUUAUCGAAGGAUACUCCAUAAGCAUACAUACAGACAUAUCUUGCCAUGUGUCUCAGCCACAUGGCUUAAACACACAUUCAUGUACUGUGAUAUGUCAAUCCAGUCUUACUCUUAUUAGAGCCUACACCAUGAGUGUUUUCAAAUCAUAUUAAGAUGUUGUAGGUCUCAACCUCAUAGUCUUACACUUGUUUUCAUAUCGUGACCUGCCAGUCUAGUUAGCAAUAUAAUUGCCUACCAGAGGCUUCAUAGAGGAACAUUUGCUUAGAUUCACUUACCUAGAUGAUCUGUAACACCCCUUACCCGAGACCGUUGUCAGAGUCGAGCACGAGGUAUUACUUAUCUUAUCUUACUAACUCGAAGCAUAAAAACUUGUUUUAAAAAUUAAUUUCACUAUUUAUAGCAAUUUGUCCAAUCGCGCAGCAGUUACUAAAUUAAUUAUAACUCGAGAUACGGAACUUGAAAUUUAACUCCGUAAAUUUUCCCUGAAACUAGACUCAUAUAUCUUCCUACCAUAAAAAUUUUAGGAUUUUUAGUUUAUCAAAUUAGUACAGUUUAUUAGUUAAAUUCUCCCCUGUUUCACAAAUCGACUGCCCUGACCUCUUAUCACUAAAAAUAAAAUGUAUCAUUGUGGGAUUUUCGUAUAGUGCUACCGCUUGCUUCUACAGAAAAUAGACUCAAUAAGGAAUCUAUACAUAUAAACUACAACUCAUAAAUAUUUUUUUAAAAUUUUUAAUGAUUUUAUAAACUCAAAACAGGGGUCACCAAAAACUGUUCUAACCCUGUCUCACCAAAAUUCACAUAUCUUAAAAUAUAAAUUCCUUUUGCUACACCGUUAUUUUUAUGUGAAAAUAGACUCAACAAGAUUUAUGUCAUUCAAUAUUUAAUUCAUUUUAUACUAUCCUAGGUGAUUUUUCAAAGUCACGUCACUGUUGCUGCCUGAAUUCUGUUUCUUUGCAAAAUUUUACCCUUUUAUGAUUUCCAUGCAUAGUUUAUCACUUAGACUCUUAUAACAACAAACACUUCCAUACUUAACCAUUUUAGCAACCAUUCAUCAUCAAAUACUUACACAUCAUUCUUUAGCAAGAUCAUAAAUACAAACAUUUAAAAUAACUAAAUCCCUUUACAUUCCAUACUCAACAUGGUUCAACAUAAAAAUACCGAGUUGCUGUGGUUGAUAGUGUGGACGAUCUCCGACUUCUUUAGGAUCCUUGAAGUAACCUUGCAAUACUAUAAGAGAAAGAGAAAUAAAAGACGUAAGCAUAAAGCUUAGUAAGUUUACUAGCAAAUAAAUAACAAUAUUUAACUAGAUAAUUAAACUCAAGUGUCUAUAUCUCUAGUUUACUAUUUAGUUAAUCUCAUUCUAGUUCUCUUGCUUGUUUACUUAGUAUACUUGUGUGCAUAACUUACUCCUCUCUUGCUGUAUAGUUGAAUAUCAAUUGAUAAUAUAAUAAGUUAUUAACUCUUAUAACUUACCUGAACUUGCCAUUUAUGUUUUUAACUGAACUUUCCUGAACAUGAUUCGUUAUUUAGCCCGUUGAGCUACAUUGGAACAAUAAGGAUACUCGGGUCUCUUCUGAUAAUAACAUGCCAAAGCCAUGUCCCAGACAUGGUCUUACAUGGGAUGUACUCAUGUCGGUGCCCAUUCCAUAUCCCAGACAUGGUCUUACGGGGGACCUCUCAUCUCGGUGCCAAUGCCAUGUCCCAGACAUGGUCUUACAUGGGACCUCUCAUCUCGGUGCCAACGCCAUGUCCCAGACAUGGUCUUACAUGGGACCUCUCAUCUCGGUGCCAACGCCAUGUCCCAGACAUGGUCUUACAUGGGACCUCUUUACCCAAAUGUCAUGACAUUCGUAUCCAGUACCAUCCUUACUAUUCAUGACAACCGAUAUAUAUAUAUACAUACUCACUAUUCACAAGGACUCGAACGAUUAUAUACUCAUCAACCACCUUAAAACAAUGUUCAUAAACUUAUCCAUUUCAUAUAAACAAAAGCAUAUAUAUUUAUAACCAAUGCAUAGAAUCACUUAAUUUAAACAGAUUCACUGGCACUUCACCUGAUAGGCUUAUAGUUUAAUUCAGUUCACCGGCACUUAGCCUACUAGGCUUGUAGCCUGAUUCAGUUCACCGGCACUUAGCCUGCUAGACGUAUAGUCCGAUUCAAUUCACCGGCAUUUAGCCUGCUAGACGUAUAGUCUGAUUCAAUUUACCGGCACUUAGCCUGCUAGACGUAUAGUCUGAAUAAUUUUACUGGUAAUAAAUCCGAUAGUAAUUUCUCCGUUGAAAUUGAAUUAUAUUCAAUUCUGCGUAACAAACAUGCACUUAAAACAUACUUGCAUAAUUCACAACAAUAAUUUCAGUCCAAAGAGCUGUAAUUCAUAUUCGAACUAUAUAUAUAUAAAUCCAUACAUAAAAAUUCAACUCAAAAUUUAUAACCUAUAUCUUUGAACCACAUAGGUACAUGAAAUUCAAACACCAAAAUCCAGCUCAAUAACUUCAUGAUUCAACCUAACAAAUUUAUGUAUAUAACUUUUUAUCUAAUUUCAAUACAAUAACUUAUACAUGUACGUAUAUACAUAUUCGAAUCUAACAUAUACAUAUAUAAUUUCAUACUUAAAUAUAUUCAAGACUUAUUCAUGAGUAUACAUAUAUAUUACAACUCACAUGUACAUAUAUAUACACAUUCAUACCUUUAACCAAGUCCAAGGCUUUAUACAUGUAUAUGCUUAUAUAUAUAUAUUCGGACCUUAUGUUUACAUAUAUAUAUUAUAUAAAUACCUUUGAUUAAAAACAAGUAUUUAUACAUAUAUAUAUUUUCGAACAUGAUACAUAUAUAUUUAUAUCAUUCAUACUUAAACAAAAUUCAAUCCAUAUACUUUCAAUUUCAGCUCACCAAAUUACUAUAGAUAUACAUGCAUAUAUACUGAUUUAAUAACCUCAAAUUGCUAAUAGACUUACCUCGGAUAUCAGCGGACACGAUCGAGUAUUCGAUUACUUUCGUUUUUCCCCGAUCCAAAUUCGUUUUCUUCGUUUUUUAUCUUAAUUAGACCUAGAGAUAGCCGAACCUUGUUGUUCUCUUUUCUUUUCUUUUCUUUUUCUUUUCUAUAUUCGGCCAAGAUGAAGAACAUGGCAUUUAAAAUUUGUUAUAUUAAACAUAUAUUAGCCUUAUUUUUAAUUUACUAUAUUAACCUUUACAUAUAUAUAACAUAUAUAAUAAGGUUACAUUAGUCCUUUGCCACCCACUAACUUACAUAGUGGACUAAUUGCAUAGUAAAACCUCUAAAUUAUAAAGACAACAAGAAUUAGGUCCUUUUAUAAUUAACCCCUAAAUUUUCAUUUUACGCGAUUAAGCCCUUUUAUUAAAUCGGACACUUAAACGACGAAAUUAAAACACGAAAAUUUCACACAAUCAAAUGCAUACAAAACAAUAUUAAUAAUAUUUUUCUAAUUCAAAUUUGUGGUCCCGAAACCAGUAUUCUGAUUAGGGUCAAAAACCGGGUUGUUACAACUCUCCCCCCUUAGGGAUUUUCGUCCCCGAAAAUCUUACCGGUGAAUAGGUUUGGAUAACGCUCUUUCAUUGUAUCUUCUAACUCCCAAGUUGCUUCUUCAACCCCAUGUUUAUGCCACAACACUUUAACUAACGGAAUUUUCUUAUUUCGUAAUUCUUUGAUCUCACGAGCCAGAAUGCUAAUCGGUUCUUCCUCAUAUGUCAUAUCAGAGUUAAUUUCAAUCUCCGUCGGACUAAUCACAUGUGAAGGAUCAGAUCGGUAUCUACGAAGCAUCGAAACAUGGAAUACGUUAUGAAUCUUUUCUAACUCAGGCAGUAACAUCAAUCUAUAAGCAACCAAUCCAACUCGCUCUAUAAUCUCAUACGGUCCAAUGAAUCUCGGACACAAUUUGCCUUUACGACCAAAUCUGAGUAUUUUCUUCCACGGUGAGACUUUUAAAAACACUUUAUCCCCGAUCUGAAAUUCUAUAUCCUUUCUUUUCAAAUUCGCAUAAGAUUUCUGACGAUCCGAUGCUGAUUUCAGACUGUCCCGAAUCACUUUCACUUUCUGUUCGGUCUCUUUAAUCAAAUCAACCCCGUGUAUCUUAUUUUCACUGAGCUCGGUCCAAUACAGUGGUGUACGACAUUUACAACCGUACAAAGCCUCAUAAGGUGCCAUUUUGAUACUAGAUUGAAAGCUAUUAUUAUAAGCAAAUUCAAUCAAAGGUAAGUAUCGUUCCCACGUACCUUCAAACUCGAGAAUGCAACAUCUCAACAUAUCCUCAAGUAUCUGAAUGAUUCAUUCAGAUUGACCAUCUGUCUGCGGAUCGAAAGCUGUGCUAAAAUGUAGUUUCGUACCUAAAGCAUCUUGUAGUUUCUUCCAAAAUCGCGAUGUGAAUCUCAGAUCUCUGUCUGAAACAAUAGAAAUAGGUACACCAUGCAACCUCACAAUUUGUGAAAUAUACAAUUCCGCAAGUUUAUCGAGCGAAAAAUCUGUACGAAUCGAAAUAAAAUGUGUCGAUUUUGUCAACCUAUCAACAAUAACCCAGAUUGCAUCUAUCUUGCUCGGUGUCAACGGUAAAUCGGAUACAAAAUCCAUCGUGACUCGAUCCCAUUUCCAUUGAGGUAUCAUGAUCGGCUGAAGCAACCCAGAUGGUACCUGAUGCUUGGCUUUAACUUGCUGACAAAUUAAACAUUUCGAAACAAAGUCAGAAAUGUCUCGUUUCAUACCUUGCCACCAAUAGUGCUGUUUCAGAUCGUUAUACAUUUUCGUGCUACCCGGAUGAACAGAAAAUCGACUACUAUGAGCUUCCUUCAAAAUCAUCUAAAUUAACUCUGAUUUUUUCGGAACACAUAAUCGGUUUCUAAAUCUCAAACAAUCCUCAGCAUCAACUAAAAACUCCGAAUCAAUAUUUAAGUCACAUUGAGCUCGUUUUGCAGUUAAAUCAUUAUCGACCUUUUGAGCUUCACAAAUCUGUUGUACAAAUAACGGUUUUGCUUUCAACUCAGCUACUAUCGCACCAUCAUCAGACAUAACCAUAUGUGCGUUCAUUGCACGCAAAGCAAACAGUGAUUUUCGACUUAGGGCAUCAGCAACAACAUUAGCCUUUCCCGGAUGAUAGUCAAUCACAAGCUCGUAUUCUUUCAGCAAUUCUAACCAUCGACGCUGUCUCAAAUUCAGAUAUUUCUGAGUCAUCAAAUAUUUCAGGCUUUUGGGAUCGGAAUAAACAUGACAUCUUUCACCAAACAGAUAGUGACGCCAUAUUUUUAACGCAAAUACAAUAGCGGCCAAUUCCAGAUCAUGUGUCGGAUAGUUUUUUUCAUGCGGCUUUAACUGUCUCAAGGCAUAGGCUACAACUUUGCCUUCCUACAUCAAAACACAACCCAAACCAUUUAAAGAUGCAUCACUAUAGAUAACAAACUCUUUACCCGAUUCGGGUUGAACUAAGACUGGAGCUUCGGUCAAAAGAACUUUCAACUGAUCAAAGUUUUUCUGACACUUUUCUGACCACUCGAACUUAACGUCUUUUUGUAGUAGCUUUGUCAUCGGGGUCGCAAUCAUAGAAAACCCUUUCACGAACCGUCUAUAAUAACCAGCGAGCCCCAGAAAGCUUCGAACAUCAGAGACAUUUCUCGGAGGUUUCCAAUCAAGUAUAGCUGAAAUUUUACCUGGAUCAACUCGAAUACCCGAUGCUGACACAACAUGGCCCAGAAAACUAACUUCACGUAACCAGAACUCGCAUUUACUGAACUUUGCAUACAACUGUUUAUCUCGCAAAGUUUGUAACACAAGUCUCAGAUGUUCAGUAUGCUCGGUUUCAUCACGAGAGUAGAUCAAAAUAUCAUCUAUAAAUACUACCACAAAUCGAUCCAGAUACUGUCUAAAAAUCUGAUUCAUCAAAUCCAUGAAAACAGCAGGUGCAUUAGUAAGUCCAAAAGGCAUAACCAAGAACUCAUAAUGUCCGUACCUCGUUCGGAAAGCUGUCUUUGGCACAUCAGAGUCUUUAACUCGCAACUGAUAGUAGCCUGAUCUCAGAUCUAUCUUCGAAAACACAGUAGCCCCUUUCAACUGAUCGAACAAAUCAUCAAUCCGUGGUAACGGAUACUUAUUCUUUAUAGUCACCUUAUUGAGUUGCCGGUAAUCAAUGCACAUUCUCAUUGUUCUGUCUUUCUUUUUCACAAAUAGAACUGGUGCACCCCAAGGAGAGAAACUCGGUCGUGUAAAACCUUUAUCAGUCAACUCUUGCAACUGUACUUUCAAUUCUUUUAAUUCGGUCGGUACCAUACGGUACGGAGCUAUCGAAAUUGGAGUUGUCCCUGGUACUAACUCAAUACCAAACUCUACCUCUCGAAUAGGUGGCAAACCCGGUAAUUCUUCGGGAAACACGUCUGAAUACUUACACACUACUGGCACAGAUUCAAUCUUCUUUUCGGUCACUUUACUAUCAAGAAAAAAUGCAAGGUAAUCUUCACAACCUUUUCUCACAUACUUCUGAGCCGACAUCGAGGAUAUUAUUGCUGGUAAACCAUUCAGAUCAUUAGAUUCAAUCCGAAUAAUCUCAUCAUUCUGACACCGUAGAUCAAUAGUUUUCCGUUUGCAGUUUACUAUAGCAUUAUGCAGAGUUAACCAAUCCAUACCCAGAAUUAUAUCAAACUCGUCAAAUGGUAGCAACAUCAAAUCAGCCAGAAAACAUAAAUCUCGAAUCAUCAACGGACAAUUCUUGCACACUUUGUCAACCAAAACACACCGGCCCAAGAGGUUCAAUACUUUAAUUACAAACUCAGUAGACUCAACAGGCAAAGUCUUACUGAAUACUAAAGUCUCACACACAUAAGAAUGAGUCGAACCAAGAUCAAUCAAUGCAAUAACAUUAGUAUCAUAAAGAGUGAAAGUACCAGUAAUAACAUCUGGAGAAGAAGCCUCCUCCCGAGCACGGAUGGCAUAUGCUCUGGCAAGUGCACGAGCCUCAGAUCGAACUGCCAUGUCCUUUGUUCCUCUCUGACUGCCACUUACAUUACUCAAUUGCCUCGGCGGUCUACCUCGUACAGGUACUUUACUCGGUCUGGUAUUCUACACAGUGUUUUGCUCAGCUACCAUCGGACACUCUCGAAUGAAAUGAUCCUUUGAACCGCACUUAAAGCAAGACCGAUCAUGUAAUCUGCAAUCUCCAGGAUGCCAUUUCCCACAAUGCUUGUACUCUGAUCUAUUUUGUCGAACACUACCAACGCUAGCAACUGAAGUAGCUCGUGAACUCACAGGGGGUCGAUCUCGAUCAUACUUAGGAAACCCUGCAGUAGCUUUAGAUCGGCUAUGAUCCUCUCUGGAUUUCAUUGAGGUCGACUGGAAUGAUUUACUGAAUGAUCUUUUACGAGAAUCUCGAGCUUCAUAGCCAGCUUUCCUCUUCUCUUUACUGAGCUCCUUAACUUUACAAGGUCGUUCAACAAGUACUACGAACUCUUUUAUCUCAAGUAUACCAAAUAACAGUUUAAUAUCUUCAUCCAGCCCAUCUUCAAAUCUUUUACACAUGAUAGCUUCAGUCGAAAUACAUUCUCGAGCAUAUCUACUGAGUCUCACAAAUUUCCGCUCAUAUUCUAUCACUGUCAUACGACCCUGUUUCAAUUCAAGAAAUUCCUUAUGCUUCUGAUCAAUGAAUCUUUGGCUGAUGUAUUUCUUACAGAACUCAAUCUGAAAGAAUUCCCAGGUCACUCGCUCUUUCGGAACCACCGAUACUAGUGUAUUCCACCAGUGAUAUGCAGUGUCCCGUAGCAAAGAUAUGGCACAUUUCAAGUACUCAUCAGGGGUGCAAGAUAACUCAUCAAACACUCGAAUAGUAUUAUCAAGCCAGAAUUCAGCUUGCUCAGCAUCAUCAUCAUCAGUAGCUCUGAACUCUUCGACCCCGUGUUUUCAAAUUUAGUCAACAGGAGGCUUAAGUAAUCUCAUCGGAUCACUUACUUGAGGUAUAAUAGGAAUCGAAGGUGGAUUAGUCGGGGGUGGAGUUUGUUGUGCAACCGGAUUAGUUCGGACAUAUUGAGUAAACCAGUCAUUCAUCAUUUGGUAGAAGGCUUGUUUAGCCUCUCCCUCCUGGUUACUCGAGGUCGGUCGAGAAUCUACCAGCUCUGUCCCUUGUGUGGGAGCAGGCGCUAUACUCUCAACAUCAUCGACUACGGCUGGAUCGGGAUCCAUUACUAUACGAAAACACAUUUUUAGACAUCAGCAGUCAUCGCACUAUCUUGGUAUAAAAAUAUGGCAUGUAUAGCUAGACUCAUACAUGCUACAUUAGUCCAAGAAUCGAUUAAACCGUAGCUCUGAUACCAAUAAAAUGUAACACCCCUAACCCGUAUCCGUCGCCGAAUUAGGGUUACGAGGCAUUACUGAACAAAUACAACCAUUUUUAAAACCAACUGAUCACAAACAUGAAAAUUAAAUCAUUUUCACAUAGCUAUUUAUAAUUUACAAUCAACAUCUAACCAACAUCGUACUCAAACCUAUACAUGCCAUAAGAUCAAGUUCAAAUAUUUAACAAAAUACCAAAAGGGGUCGAAAGUGUGAUAGACUAUGCUGAUGAUCCCCGAGCUCGUAACGCAUCUCCAAAAUCUAUAAAAACAAAUGGACAAAAACAAUCAAAGUAAGCUUUUAUAGCUUAGUAAGUCUAUAGCAUAUCUAAAAUACAUAUAAAAGAAUCAUAUAAUUCUUAAAAUAAAUUUAUUGAAAUCACAAUUAUCAAUUAUAAUUACUAAUCGAACAUUGCUAUAUUAAGUCAUCUUGUUUAAAUCUAAAAGGAUGUGUAUUUAUCUAAUACACAUGAACGGACAAAUGUAUAUACAUUAUAUGCAUAUAAUCAAUUUACUAACAUAAUCAUUAAUUGCAUAUACGGAUUUCUAUAGUACUUAUUGUUCGCACUUAAUCGGAUCCAUUUAAAUAUAAUUGUUCAAAUACAUAUACCAAAAGCAUAAUAAUUUUAUACUUGAUCAACUAUAAGUGCCGAAUGCACAUAUACACCUAUACCCACCUAUGCCGAAUGCAUACAUAUAUACACAUAUAUAUAUAUCCAACAAUUUCGUGACAACCGAUAUAUAUAUACAUACUCACUAUUCACAAGGACUCGAACGAUUAUAUACUCAUCAACCACCUUAAAACAAUGUUCAUAAACUUAUCCAUUUCAUAUAAACAAAAGCAUAUAUAUUUAUACCCAAUGCAUAGAAUCACUUAAUUUAAACAGAUUCACUAGCACUUCACCUGAUAGGCUUAUAGUUUAAUUCAGUUCACCGGUACUUAGCCUACUAGGCUUGUAGCCUGAUUCAGUUCACCGGCACUUAGCCUGCUAGACGUAUAGUCCGAUUCAAUUCACCGGCAUUUAGCCUGCUAGACGUAUAGUCCGAUUCAAUUUAUCGGCACUUAGCCUGCUAGAUGUAUAGUCUGAAUAAUUUUACUGGUAAUAAAUCCGAUAGUCAUUUCUCCGUUGAAAUUGAAUUAUAUUCAAUUCUGCGUAACAAACAUGCACUUAAAACAUACUUGCAUAAUUCACAACAAUAAUUUCAGUCCAAAGAGCUGUAAUUCAUAUUCGAACUAUAUAUAUAAAUCCAUACAUAAAAAUUCAGCUCAAAAUUUAUAACCUAUAUCUUUGAACCACAUAGGUACAUGAAAUUCAAACAACAAAAUCCAGCUCAAUAACUUCAUGAUUCAACCUAACAAAUUUAUGUAUAUAACUUUUUAUCUAAUUUCAAUACAAUAACUUAUACAUGUACGUAUAUACAUAUUCGAAUCUAACAUAUACAUAUAUAAUUUCAUACUUAAAUAUAUUCAAGACUUAUUCAUGAGUAUACAUAUAUAUUACAACUCACAUGUACAUAUAUAUACACAUUCAUACCUUUAACCAAGUCCAAGGCUUUAUACAUGUAUAUGCUUAUAUAUAUAUAUAUUCGGACCUUAUGUUUACAUAUAUAUUAUAUAUAAAUACCUUUGAUUAAAAACAAGUAUUUAUACAUAUAUAUAUUUUUGAACAUGAUACAUAUAUAUAUUUAUAUCAUUCAUACUUAAACAAAAUUCAAUCCAUAUACUUUCAAUUUCAGCUCACCAAAUUACUAUAGAUAUACAUGCAUAUAUACUGAUUUAAUAACCUCAAAUUGCUAAUAGACUUACCUCGGAUAUCAGCGGACACGAUCGACUAUUCGAUUACUUUCGUUUUUCCCCGAUCCAAAUUCGUUUUCUUCGUUUUUUUAUCUUAAUUAGACCUAGAGAUAGCCGAACCUUGUUGUUCUCUUUUCUUUUCUUUUCUUUUUCUUUUCUAUAUUCGGCCAAGAUGAAGAACAUGGCAUUUAAAAUUUGUUAUAUUAAACAUAUAUUAGCCUUAUUUUUAAUUUACUAUAUUAACCUUUACAUAUAUAUAUAACAUAUAUAAUAAGGUUACAUUAGUCCUUUGCCACCCACUAACUUACAUAGUGGACUAAUUGCAUAGUAAAACCUCUAAAUUAUAAAGACAACAACAAUUAGGUGCUUUUAUAAUUAACCCCUAAAUUUUCAUUUUACGCGAUUAAGCCCUUUUAUUAAAUCGGACACUUAAACGACGAAAUUAAAACACGAAAAUUUCACACAAUCAAAUGCAUACAAAAUAAUAUUAAUAAUAUUUUUCUAAUUCAAAUUUGUGGUCCCGAAACCAGUAUUCUGAUUAGGGUCAAAAACCGGGUUGUUACAACUCUCCCCCCUUAGAGAUUUUCGUCCCCGAAAAUCUUACCGGUGAAUAGGUUUGGAUAACGCUCUUUCAUUGUAUCUUCUGACUCCCAAGUUGCUUCUUCAACCCCAUGUUUAUGCCACAACACUUUAACUAACGGAAUUUUCUUAUUUCGUAAUUCUUUGAUCUCACGAGCAAGAAUGCUAAUCGGUUCUUCCUCAUAUGUCAUAUCAGAGUUAAUUUCAAUCUCCGUCGGACUAAUCACAUGUGAAGGAUCAGAUCGGUAUCUACGGAGCAUCGAAACAUGGAAUACGUUAUGAAUCUUUUCUAACUCAGGCAGUAACAUCAAUCUAUAAGCAACCAAUCCAACUCGCUCUAUAAUCUCAUACGGUCCAAUUAAUCUCGGACACAAUUUGCCUUUACGACCAAAUCUGAGUAUUUUCUUCCACGGUGAGACUUUUAACUUGCUCGGUGUCAACGGUAAAUCGGAUACAAAAUCCAUCGUGACUCGAUCCCAUUUCCAUUGAGGUAUCAUGAUCGGCUGAAGCAAUCCAGAUGGUACCUGAUGCUCGGCUUUAACUUGCUGACAAAUUAAACAUUUCGAAACAAAGUCAGAAAUGUCUCGUUUCAUACCUUGCCACCAAUAGUGCUGUUUUAGAUCGUUAUACAUUUUCGUGCUACCCGGAUGAACAGAAAAUCGAAUACUAUGAGCUUCCUUCAAAAUCAUCUGAAUUAACUCUGAAUUUUUCGGAACACAUAAUCGGUUUCUAAAUCUCAAACAAUCCUCAGCAUCAACUAAAAACUCCGAAUCAAUAUUUAAGUCACAUUGAGCUCGUUUUGCAGUUAAAUCAUUAUCAACCUUUUGAGCUUCACAAAUCUGUUGUACAAAUAACAGUUUUGCUUUCAACUCAGCUACUAUCGCACCAUCAUCAGACAUAACCAUAUGUGCGUUCAUUGCACGCAAAGCAAACAGUGAUUUUCGACUUAGGGCAUCAGCAACAACAUUAGCCUUUCCCGGAUGAUAGUCAAUCACAAGCUCGUAAUCUUUCAGCAAUUCUAACCAUCGACGCUGUCUCAAAUUCAGAUAUUUCUGAGUCAUCAAAUAUUUCAGGCUUUUGGGAUCGGAAUAAACAUGACAUCUUUCGCCAAACAGAUAGUGACGCCAUAUUUUUAACGCAAAUACAAUAGCGGCCAAUUCCAGAUCAUGCGUCGGAUAGUUUUUUUCAUGCGGCUUUAACUGUCUCAAGGCAUAGGCUACAACUUUGCCUUCCUACAUCAAAACACAACCCAAACCAUUUAAAGAUGCAUCACUAUAGAUAACAAACUCUUUACCCGAUUCGGGUUGAACUAGGACUGGAGCUUCGGUCAAAAGAACUUUCAACUGAUCAAAGUUUUUCUGACACUUUUCUGACCACUCGAACUUAACGUCUUUUUGUAGUAGCUUUGUCAUCGGGGUCGCAAUCAUAGAAAACCCUUUCACGAACCGUCUAUAAUAACCAGCGAGCCCCAGAAAGCUUCGAACAUCAGAGACAUUUCUCGGAGGUUUCCAAUCAAGUAUAGCUGAAAUUUUACUUGGAUCAACCUGAAUACCCGAUGCUGACACAACAUGGCCCAGAAAACUAACUUCACGUAACCAGAACUCGAAUUUACUGAACUUUGCAUACAACUGUUUAUCUCGCAAAGUUUGUAACACAAGUCUCAGAUGUUCAGUAUGCUCGGUUUCAUCACGAGAGUAGAUCAAAAUAUCAUCUAUAAAUACUACCACAAACAGAUCCAGAUACUGUCUAAAAAUCUGAUUCAUCAAAUCCAUGAAAACAGCAGGUGCAUUAGUAAGUCCAAAAGGCAUAACCAAGAACUCAUAAUGUCCGUACCUCGUUCGGAAAGCAGUCUUUGGCACAUCAGAGUCUUUAACUCGCAACUGAUAGUAGCCUGAUCUCAGAUCUAUCUUCGAAAACACAGUAGCCCCUUUCAACUGAUCGAACAAAUCAUCAAUCCGUGGUAACGGAUACUUAUUCUUUAUAGUCACCUUAUUGAGUUGCCGGUAAUCAAUGCACAUUCUCAUUGUUCCGUCUUUCUUUUUCACAAAUAGAACUGGUGCACCCCAAGGAGAGAAACUCGGUCGUGCAAAACCUUUAUCAGUCAACUCUUGCAACUGUACUUUCAAUUCUUUUAAUUCAGUCGGUGCCAUACGGUACGGAGCUAUCGAAAUUGGAGUUGUCCCUGGUACUAACUCAAUACCAAACUCUACCUCUCGAAUAGGUGGCAAACCCGGUAAUUCUUCGGGAAACACGUCUGAAUACUUACACACUACUGGCACAGAUUCAAUCUUCUUUUCGAUCACUUUACUAUCAAGAAAAAAUGCAAGGUAAUCUUCACAACCUUUUCUCACAUACUUUUUUGCCGACAUCGAGGAUAUUAUUGCUGGUAAACCAUUCAGAUCAUUAGAUUCAAUCCGAAUAAUCUCAUCAUUCUGACACCGUAGAUCAAUAGUUUUCCGUUUGCAGUUUACUAUAGCAUCAUGCAGAGUUAACCAAUCCAUACCCAGAAUUAUAUCAAACUCGUCAAAUGGUAGCAACAUCAAAUCAGCCAGAAAACAUAAAUCUCGAAUCAUCAACGGACAAUUCUUGCAUAUUUUGUCAACCAAAACACACCGGCCCAGGGGGUUCAAUACUUUAAUUACAAACUCAGUAGACUCAACAGGCAAAGUCUUACUGAAUACUAAAGUCUCACACACAUAAGAAUGAGUCGAACCAAGAUCAAUCAAUGCAAUAACAUUAGUAUCAUAAAGAGGGAAAGUACCAGUAAUAACAUCUGGAGAAGAAGCCUCCUCUUGAGCACGGAUGGCAUAUGCUCUGGCAAGUGCACGAGCCUCAGAUCGAACUGCCAUGUCCUUUGUUCCUCUCUGACUGCCACUUACAUUACUCAAUUGCCUCGGUGGUCUACCUCGUACUGGCACUUUACUCGGUCUGGUAUUCUGCACAGUGUUUUGCUCAGCUACCAUCGGACACUCUCGAAUGAAAUGAUCCUUUGAACCGCACUUAAAGCAAGACCGAUCAUGUAAUCUGCAAUCUCCAGGAUGCCAUUUCCCACAAUACUUGUACUCUGAUCUAUUUUGUCGAACACUACCAACGCUAGCAACUGAAGUAGCUCGUGAACUCACAGGGGGUCGAUCUCGAUCAUACUUAGGAAACCCUGCAGUAGCUUUAGAUCGGCUAUGAUCCUCUCUGGAUUUCAUUGAGGUCGACUGGAAUGAUUUACUGAAUAAUCUUUUACGAGAAUCUCGAGCUUCAUAGCCAGCUUUCCUCUUCUCUUUCCCGAGCUCCUCAACUUUACAAGGUCGUUCAACAAGUACUACGAACUCUUUUAUCUCAAGUAUACCAAAUAACAGUUUAAUAUCUUCAUCCAGCCCAUCUUCAAAUCUUUUACACAUGAUAGCUUCAGUCGAAAUACAUUCUCGAGCAUAUCUACUGAGUCUCACAAAUUUCCGCUCAUAUUCUAUCACUGUCAUACGACCCUGUUUCAAUUUAAGAAAUUACUUACGCUUCUGAUCAAUGAAUCUUUGGCUGAUGUAUUUCUUACAGAACUCAAUCUGAAAGAAUUCCCAGGUCACUCGCUCUUUCGGAACCACCGAUACUAGUGUAUUCCACCAGUGAUAUGCAGUGUCCCGUGGCAAAGAUAUGGCACAUUUCAAGUACUCAUCAGGGGUGCAAGAUAACUCAUCAAACACUCGAAUAGUAUUAUCAAGCCAGAAUUCAUCUCGCUCAGCAUCAUCAUCAUCAGUAGCUCUGAACUCUUCGACCCCGUGUUUUUGAAUUUUGUCAAUAGGAGGCUUAAGUAAUCUCAUCGGAUCACUUACUUGAGGUAUAACAGGAAUCGAAGGUGGAUUAGUCGGGGGUGGAGUUUGUUGUGCAACCGGAUUAGUUCGGACAUAUUGAGUAAACCAGUCAUUCAUCAUUUGGUAGAAGGCUUGUUUAGCCUCUCCCUCCUGGUUACUCGAGGUCGGUCGAGAAUCUACCGGCUCUGUCCCUUGUGUGGGAGCAGGCGCUAUACCCUCAACAUCAUCGACUACGGCUCGAUCGGGAUCCAUUACUAUACGAAAACACAUUUUUAGACAUCAGCAGUCAUCACACUAUCUUGGUAUAAAAAUAUGGCAUGUAUAGCUAGACUCAUACAUGCUACAUUAGUCCAAGAAUCGAUUAAACCGUAGCUCUGAUACCAAUAAAAUGUAACACCCCUAACCCGUAUCCGUCGCCGAAUUAGGGUUACGAGGCAUUACUGAACAAAUACAACCAUUUUUAAAACCAACUGAUCACAAACAUGAAAAUUAAAUCAUUUUCACAUAGCUAUUUAUAAUUUACAAUCAACAUCUAACCAACAUCGUACUCAAACCUAUACAUGCCAUAAGAUCAAGUUCAAAUAUUUAACAAAAUACCAAAAGGGGUCAAAAGUGUGAUAGACUAUGCUGAUGAUCCCCGAGCUCGUAACGCGUCUCCAAAAUCUAUAAAAACAAAUGGACAAAAACAAUCAAAGUAAGCUUUUAUAGCUUAGUAAGUCUAUAGCAUAUCUAAAAUACAUAUAAAAGAAUCAUAUAAUUCUUAAAAUAAAUUUAUUGAAAUCACAAUUAUCAAUUAUAAUUACUAAUCGAACAUUGCUAUAUUAAGUCAUCUUGUUUAAAUCUAAAAGGAUGUGUAUUUAUCUAAUACACAUGAACGGACAAAUGUAUAUACAUUAUAUGCAUAUAAUCAAUUUACUAACAUAAUCAUUAAUUGCAUAUACGGAUUUCUAUAGUACUUAUUGUUCGCACUUCAUCGGAUCCAUUUAAAUAUAAUUGUUCAAAUACAUAUACCAAAAGCAUAAUAAUUUUAUACUUGAUCAACUAUAAGUGCCGAAUGCACAUAUACACCUAUACCCACCUAUGCCGAAUGCAUACAUAUAUACACAUAUAUAUAUAUCCAACAAUUUCAUGACAACCGAUAUAUAUAUACAUACUCACUAUUCACAAGGACUCGAACGAUUAUAUACUCAUCAACCACCUUAAAACAAUGUUCAUAAACUUAUCCAUUUCAUAUAAACAAAAGCAUAUAUAUUUAUACCCAAUGCAUAGAAUCACUUAAUUUAAACAGAUUCACUGGCACUUCACCUGAUAGGCUUAUAGUUUAAUUCAGUUCACCGGCACUUAGCCUACUAGGCUUGUAGCCUGAUUCAGUUCACCGGCACUUAGCCUGCUAGACGUAUAGUCCGAUUCAAUUCACCGGCAUUUAGCCUGCUAGACGUAUAGUCCGAUUCAAUUUACCGGCACUUAGCCUGCUAGAUGUAUAGUCUGAAUAAUUUUACUGGUAAUAAAUCCGAUAGUCAUUUCUCCGUUGAAAUUGAAUUAUAUUCAAUUCUGCGUAACAAACAUGCACUUAAAACAUACUUGCAUAAUUCACAACAAUAAUUUCAGUCCAAAGAGCUGUAAUUCAUAUUCGAACUAUAUAUAUAUAAAUCCAUACAUAAAAAUUCAGCUCAAAAUUUAUAACCUAUAUCUUUGAACCACAUAGGUACAUGAAAUUCAAACAACAAAAUCCAGCUCAAUAACUUCAUGAUUCAACCUAACAAAUUUAUGUAUAUAACUUUUUAUCUAAUUUCAAUACAAUAACUUAUACAUGUACGUAUAUACAUAUUUGAAUCUAACAUAUACAUAUAUAAUUUCAUACUUAAAUAUAUUCAAGACUUAUUCAUGAGUAUACAUAUAUAUUACAACUCACAUGUACAUAUAUAUACACAUUCAUACCUUUAACCAAGUCCAAGGCUUUAUACAUGUAUAUGCUUAUAUAUAUAUAUAUUCGGACCUUAUGUUUACAUAUAUAUUAUAUAUAAAUACCUUUGAUUAAAAACAAGUAUUUAUACAUAUAUAUAUUUUCGAACAUGAUACAUACAUAUAUUUAUAUCAUUCAUACUUAAACAAAAUUCAAUCCAUAUACUUUCAAUUUCAGCUCACCAAAUUACUAUAGAUAUACAUGCAUAUAUACUGAUUUAAUAACCUCAAAUUGCUAAUAGACUUACCUCGGAUAUCAGCGGACACGAUCGACUAUUCGAUUACUUUCGUUUUUCCCCGAUCCAAAUUCGUUUUCUUCGUUUUUUUAUCUUAAUUAGACCUAGAGAUAGCCGAACCUUGUUGUUCUCUUUUCUUUUCUUUUCUUUUUCUUUUCUAUAUUCGGCCAAGAUGAAGAACAUGGCAUUUAAAAUUUGUUAUAUUAAACAUAUAUUAGCCUUAUUUUUAAUUUACUAUAUUAACCUUUACAUAUAUAUAACAUAUAUAAUAAGGUUACAUUAGUCCUUUGCCACCCACUAACUUACAUAGUGGACUAAUUGCAUAGUAAAACCUCUAAAUUAUAAAGACAACAACAAUUAGGUGCUUUUAUAAUUAACCCCUAAAUUUUCAUUUUACGCGAUUAAGCCCUUUUAUUAAAUCGGACACUUAAACAACGAAAUUAAAACACGAAAAUUUCACACAAUCAAAUGCAUACAAAAUAAUAUUAAUAAUAUUUUUCUAAUUCAAAUUUGUGGUCCCGAAACCAGUAUUCUGAUUAGGGUCAAAAACUGGGUUGUUACAACUCUCCCCCCUUAGGGAUUUUCGUCCCCGAAAAUCUUACCGGUGAAUAGGUUUGGAUAACGCUCUUUCAUUGUAUCUUCUGACUCCCAAGUUGCUUCUUCAACCCCAUGUUUAUGCCACAACACUUUAACUAACGGAAUUUUCUUAUUUCGUAAUUCUUUGAUCUCACGAGCCAGAAUGCUAAUCGGUUCUUCCUCAUAUGUCAUAUCAGAGUUAAUUUCAAUCUCCGUCGGACUAAUCACAUGUGAAGGAUCAGAUCGGUAUCCACAGAGCAUUGAAACAUGGAAUACGUUAUGAAUCUUUUCUAACUCAGGCAGUAACAUCAAUCUAUAACCAACCGAUCCAACUCGCUCUAUAAUCUCAUACGGUCCAAUGAAUCUCGGACUCAAUUUGCCUUUACGACCAAAUCUGAGUAUUUUCUUCCACGGUGAGACUUUUAAAAACACUUUAUCCCCGAUCUGAAAUUCUAUAUCCUUUCUUUUCAAAUCCGCAUAAGAUUUCUGACGAUCCGGUGCUGAUUUCAGACUGUCCCGAAUCACUUUCACUUUCUGUUCGGUCUCUUUAAUCAAAUCAACCCCGUGUAUCUUAUUUUCACUGAGCUCAGUCCAAUACAGUGGUGUACGACAUUUACGACCGUACAAAGCCUCAUAAGGUGCCAUUUUGAUACUAGAUUGAAAGCUAUUAUUAUAAGCAAAUUCAAUCAAAGGUAAGUAUCGUUCCCACGUACCUUCAAACUCGAGAAUGCAACAUCUCAACAUAUCCUCAAGUAUCUGAAUGAUUCGUUCAGAUUGACCAUCUGUCUGCGGAUGGAAAGCUGUGCUAAAAUGUAGUUUCGUACCUAAAGCUGUGCUAAAAUGCACACAAAAUAAACACACAAAAUAAUAUUAAUAAUAUUUUUCUAAUUCGGAUUUGUGGUCCCGAAACCACUAUUCCGAUUAGGGUCAAAAACCGGGUUGUUACAAUUCUGCUUCUUCUGCAUCAUCAUCUUUGGUAGCUCGAAAUUCUUCAGCCCCUUACUUCCUAAUCUUAUCAACAGGUGGUCUCUCACUGAUGACUAUACCUGCAGCUAGGGAAACUACAUGAGGAACCUGUGAAUCCUGAAGGGGUGGAGGUCUUACACCCGGAUUCAUACGAACGAACUCGGCAAACCAAUCAUUCAUGGCUUGGAAGAAGGCUUCUCUAGCUCCUCCUCCCUGUCUAACUGAUGCAGGUCUUUCACUAACGUUAACAUCUAGUGGCACCGUCCUUUCUGCGGAAGUAGGCGCAUUACUCUCUACUUCAUCUGCACCAGCUCGUUCAGGAUCCGUAACUAUAAAAUAAAAUAUUUUAAAAUCGUCAAGAGUCGUCACACUAUCAAAAUAUAUAAGUAUGGCAUGUAUAGGUAGACUUUUAUUCAUACUGCAUAUUUCUGAGAACCGAUUAAACCUGCUCUGAUACCAACAAAUGUAACACCCCUUACCCAAGACCAUUUUCGGAGUCGAGCACGAGGCAUUACUUAUCUUAUCUUACUAACUCGAAGCAUAAAAACUUAUUUUAAAAAUUAAUUUCACUAUUUACAGCAAUCUGUCCAAUCGAGCAGCAGUUACUAAAUUAAUAAUAACUCGAGCUACGGAACUUGAAAUUUAACUUCGUAAAUUUUCACUGAAACUAGACUCAUAUAUCUUCCUACCAUAAAGUUUUUAGGAUUUUUUGUUUAGCCAACUAGUACAGUUUAUUAGUCAAAUUCUCCCCUGUUUCACCAAUCGAUUGCCUUGACCUCUUAUCACUAAAAAUAAAAUUUCUCAAUGUGGGAUUUUCGUAUAGUGCUACUGCUUGCUUCUACAAAAAAUAGACUCAAUAAGGAAUCUAUAAAUAUAAACUACAGCUCCUAAAUAUUUUUUUAAAAAUUUUAAUGAUUUUCUAAACUCAAAAUAGGGGUCACCAAAAACUGUUCUAACCCUGUCUCACCAAAAUUCACAUAUCUUAAAAUAUAAAAUUCAUUUUGCUACACCGUUAUUUUUAUCUGAAAAUAGACUCAACAAGAUUUAAAUUCAUAUAUCAUUCACUCUUUAAUUCAUUUUAUACUAUCCUAGGUGAUAUUUCAAAGUCACGUCGUUGUUGCUGCCUGAAUUCUGUUUCUUUGCAAAAUUGUACCAUUUUAUGAUUUCCAUGCAUAGUUUAUCACUUACACUCUUAUAACAACAAACACUUCCAUACUUCACCAUUUUAGCAACCAUUCAUCAUCAACUACUUACAUAUCAUUCUUUAUCAAGAUCAUAAAUACAAACAUUUAAAAUAACUAAAUCCCUAUACAUUCCAUACUCAACAUGGUUCAACAUAAAAAUACCGAGUUGCUGUGGCUGAUAGUGUGGACGAUCUCCGACUUCUUUAGGAUCCUUGAAGUAACCUUGCAAUACUAUAAGAGAAAGAGAAAUAAAAGACGUAAGCAUAAAGCUUAGUAAGUUUACUAGCAAAUAAAUAACAAUAUUUAACUCAGAUAAUUAAACUCAAGUGUCUAUAUCUCUAGUUUACUCUUUAGUUAAUCCCAUUCUAGUUCUCUUGCUUGUUUACUUAGUAUACUUGUGUGCAUAACUUAAUCUUCUCUUGCUGUAUCGUUGAAUAUCAAUUGAUAAUAUAAUAAGUUCUUAACUCUUAUAACUUACCUGAACUUGCCAUUUAUGUUUUUAACUGAACUUUCCUGAACAUGAUUCGUUAUUUAGCCCGUUGAGCUACAUUGGAACAAUAAGGAUACUCGGGUCUCUUCUGAUAAUAACAUGCCAAAGCCAUGUCCCAGACAUGGUCUUACAUGGGAUGUACUCAUGUCGGUGCCCAUUCCAUGUCCCAGACAUGGUCUUACGGGGGACCUCUCAUCUCGGUGCCAAUGUCAUGUCUCAGACAUGGUCUUACAUGGGACCUCUCAUCUCGGUGCCAACACCAUGUCCCAGACAUUGUCUUACAUGGGACCUCUCAUUUCGGUGCCAACGCCAUGUCCCAGACAUGGUCUUACAUGGGACCUCUUUAUCCAAAUGUCAUGACAUUCGUAUCCAGUAUUAUCCUUAUGUAUCAACGGGACUUUUUAAUUUUAAUUCUCUAUCAUUUCAUGCUUGGAUAAUCAUCAAAUAAAUUCAUGAAAUAAAUUCAUAGUUGCUGGAAAAUAGCAGCAUUAAUAAAAAUUAUUGAAAUAUUUCAUUUAUUUACCGUAAACUUACCUUGGUACCGAAUAUAGCCCAAUUCACCAACUUAGUCUUCAACUUUAUUCUUUCCUUUGUCUAACCUCGAGUUUCAUUCUUCUUGAUCUAAAAUAGAAAAUUUAACUUAUUUAAUACUCACAUUCAUCAAAACAGCCCUCGACUCUAACUUUUCAAAAUUAUGAUUUUGCCCCUAAACUUUUACAUAAUUACAUUUUUCCCCAAGGCUCGAAAAUUCAACUUCAUCUCAUAUUCUUAUGUUUUAUGGCAUGCUGAAUAUUUUUCUCUUCUAUGACAAUAUCAAAUUCUCACUCUAACACUUACUUAUGUACAUUAGAGAUUUUUACCGAUUAUGUCAACUUACUCGUUUUUGCUUAAAAUCGGCUAACAAAAGUUGUUUAACAUAAUUUAUAGCUUCAUAUUCUAUCAUAAAACAUCAAAAUAAACACUUUUCACCUAUGGGUAUUUUUCCAAAUAUAAACCCUAGGUUAAAUUAUUGCUAGAAUAAGCUAAAUUAAGUUACCGGGACUCCAAAAACGUAAGGAACAUUAAAAACGGGGCUUGGGAUCACUUACUAUGGAGCUUGGAAGCUUGAAAACCCUAAAUAUGGCUUACCCCCUUGCUGAUUUCGUCCAAAUGAAGAAGAUGAGCAUAAUUUGUCAUCUUUUUCCCUUUUAAUUCAUUUUAAUUACUAGAUUACCAAAUUGCCCCUAACUUAAAAAUUUCCUAUUUCACUUAUCUCAUGUCCAUUUUUGUCUAAAAACUUAACCAAUGGUCUAAUUACCAUAUAAAGACCUCCAAUUUAAAGUUUCAUAACAAUUGGACACCUCUAACAUGUAGAACUCAACUUUUGCACUUUUUGCAAUUUAGUACUUUUGACUAAAUUGAGUGCCCAAACUUCAAAAUUUUCGAAUAAAAUUUUCAUGAAAUCAUUUUGUGAAAUCAUAGACCAUAAAAAUAUAAGAAAAAUAAAAUUUUCCUCAUCGGAUUUGUGAUCCCGAAACCACUGUUCCGAUAAUCUUAAAUUUGGGCCAUUACAUGAUCACCUUUUUACUAGCUCAUACAUCUCCUACAUCAGACCUUACAUGCAUGCUUACCAAACUUUAUUCUUUUUAACAAAACUUUAUACAUAUCAUCGUAGCACAUCUUUCAUCUUUACUAAACUCAUAUUUUUACCAAUUUCUGUAGACAUCAUCAUCAUCAUCCUAUAUAUAUGCUUCUUGUUUGAACAGUUCAUAUCAAAGAGUCAAGAUAGAGACCCACUUGACACUCACCUACUGCAGUUCAAAGCUCUAAACUUAACCAUCCUUCUCAAACCAGCAGUAAAAACUGCUUAUAGAACAUAGAAUCACCAUUAAAAACCCAUUUACAUACAAAUUACUAUCAUCUUAAUCACUUUUCCACUGUUAAUUUAUAAAUAAGUGUUAAGUAGUAAAUAAAUAAAAAAAUUAACUAAGUUUUCAAAAAAAAAGUCACUGUGACGAGAAGAAUGUUAAAAUUAAUUGGUGUUUGUUAACUCAUAUGUUUUUCUAAAAAUGGGUUAAGUUUUCUUCUGAAAUAAACAAAUGUUUUAAAAUGAUUGUUUUAUAAACUCCGAUCGUACUAUCCCAUCUUGGUGGCUGAUGUAAUAUCCCAAAUUCAGGUCUAACAUCUAAGUCGGGUUGGAUAGGUUACAAUAUAUAUAGAAAGAUUGAUAAAUAAUGCAAACUUGAAUACAAGCAAAGAAAGAAAUCAAUCAAUGUGAAUGACUAACAAGUUUAAAAUCAUAUAUUUGCAUUAUAUUUUGUAAAGCACAAGAUUGUCAUGGAAUUAGACAAUUUGUUUUGAUAAUGGUUAUAUUUUAUAUAGAUUUACUUUUAUGCACUUUCAUAUUGAGUUGAUCAAAAGUUUUGAAACUUUAUAGAAAAUUUGAAUGAAAGAGCAUAUUGAUAUAUAUGCUAUCUUGAGUGUUGAAUUAAGCAUUCUUUAGUAAAAGAGUGUACAUUUCGCACAUGGUAGGUGUGUUGGUUUCUUAUAUAUUAAUUAAGCACAAAUUAAAGAAAAAUAAUAUAUAUCACCAUAGUGUUGUAAUAUUUUGUAUAAUUUGUGAAAUUAUACAAGCAAAUAAGUUUACCUAUCUUGUUAAAUAAAACUCAUUAAGUUGGUUCUUAAUCUUGAAGAAUUAAAUAGGUUGGCUUCUUUAUUCAUUUUAUCCAACUACAAGUUAGAUUAAAGUUGUGGAAAUAGAAUGGUUGAAAAUUUGUGUUAAUGAGAAUUAGAGUUAUGGCCACAACUGAUGCCAACUAUUUCCUAAAAACAGGGAAUGAUGUCCAAAAACAUGCUGUAAAAUAAAAAUUUGGACAUGUUAGAAUAUGAAUUUAUUAUAUUAUAGUUUCAAUGUAAUACCCUUAUCCCAUCUCUGUUGCCGGAUUAGGAUUUCAGAGUAUUACUGAGAAAAAUAGAACAUUUAACUUUCCAACAGAAACAAUUGUACAAUUAAAUACCAACAUAUAACAAUUGAAUCUAAUCAUGGCAAAUAUUACACUUUUGGACCUUGAAUCGAGCCUAUGGGGCCCUAGAAACAGUUUAGGAACAAUCUGGGAUCAAAUCAAAACAAAUCAGAACAUUUUGAAAAAACAUAAAAAUUUAGGAAUACAGAGGUCACAGGCCAUAUGGCCAAGUCGUGUGACAUAGCCUAGAUUGUGUAAACAUCCGAAGUCAGGACACAUAGCUGUGUCCCAGCCUGUGUGUCUACUCAUGUGUAUAUUUGAAAUAGGGUCACACAGUCGUGUUGCAGACUGCCAAACGUGUGUGUAUUCAAAGUGAGGUCGCAAGACCAUGUGGCCGACCGUGCCACAAACUGUUUUGAGACACAAGGUCAUGUCUCAGACCGUGUAAAACAUGCACUUAAAAUAAUAAAUACACACGACCGUAUCUAGUGACUAUGUGUGGCACAUGGUCGUGUGGUAGCUUGUGUCUCAGGUCGUGUGCUCCAUUUUUAACCCCUAAAUCAAGCCAAUCAAGCAUCAUUUCUUAUACAACAAGACAUACCAUAUCUAACUAAUUUUACAUGGUUAAAAACACAUUCAAAUCAACAAAUACAUGCCAAAAUUUCGUUCAUCCUAUGUCUAACCAAUAUGCCAUCAAAAGGCACCUCAAUCCAUACAUCCAUUCAACUCAAGAACAAAGUUACAAUAAAUGAACAAGUUUUAUCAUUAGUUAACCAUUCAUGCCUAAAACCACUAAUCUAAUUGACCAAAAUAUGGGCAUACUCAACAAGCAACCAUUUCAAAACAUCAUCAUCAAAUCUUUAUAUACCAUUUAUGAUCAACUUAAUUAUAUUCAACACAAGUACACAUCCAAAAUCAAGCACAUCACUAAGUAUGCCAAAAUAACUUAACUAUUUACAUAUCAACAAUAAGACACCAUAUCCCAAAAUGAAAUAAAAAAGCUACCAAGAUGGUUGGAUAGUGUGUGCUCCAAAACAAUUCAUCCGGUUAGUCCACAAAACGCCAAAUCAACCAAUAUAGAUAAACAAAAAGGUAAGUUCUAAUUCUUGAUAUUCAAAUGCAAGAUCACACCACAUUAGUAUAUAUUUAUUUACAUCAUAAAUGAUACCUUCCAAAAUUCAUAACCAAUUCAUCAUCCACAAUUUCUCAAUACAACCAUUAAUAUUUAUAAACAAGAACUUCAUAGUAACAUUUAUCAUUUAGUAGUAAUAUAAUUAUCCAACAAAAUUGAACAAAUAAAUGCGUUUUAAGUCAUUUGAUACAUAGCCUGCUGAACUAUAGUAACUUGACUCGGAUACUCAUGAUACUACAUCACACCAAAGGUAUCAAUGAUGCAUAACAGAGGCACCGAAGUGCAGACAAAUGCAUGAAUGUGCAAUCAGAGGCACCGAAGUGAAAACAGAUGCACCAAAGUACAAACCCGUACGAGUGCGCAUUAAAACCCUAUUGGCAUGCUAAUCGUAUCCUAAUUGUUUACUACGUUCAACUGGGCAUUAUACUUAAAAUCAUAAUAUCAAUAAAUCCAUCAUUUAGAGGCACUUCUUAUUUCCGUACACAUACUAUAAAUAUGUAACUUUCAUUUCAAUAAUAUGCAAUAACAAUAAUUACCAUCAUCAAACAUUCAUUUUCUAUUUGUACUUAAUUGCAAAAUUUAAUAAUAUAUAAGUAACUCAUGAAAUUUCACAUAUAUACCAUUAACUAGAAAACAAUAAUAUAAUCAUAAAGUGACACACAUAUACAUAUUAUUACACUAUGAACUUACCUAAAAUCUACUUUCGAUUAAUACACAGGGACUACUCCGCUAUUUUUUCCCUUUUCUCGGUUAUUGUCUUUUUGACUCGGUUCUUGAUCUAUAUAGUAAUUAAAUUCAAUUUAUGAAAUUCACAUACAUUUAAAACUCAAUUCAAUGCAUGAUACCCUUAUGUUUUCAUUAUUUUCACAUUUUUCUUAAACUUUUACAUUUCUCACAAUUUAGUCCCUACAAAAUUUAACAAAAUUUUACAAUUUUCCAUGUUAGUUGAACUUCUUUCGAAACUAGUACAAUCCCUAAUUAUUCACAAUUCACAAAAUUUCUAUGCAAAUUUUAAUAAUUCACACAUUGAUCAUUAAACUCAAAAUUAACACAAAUUUUUUUACAAAAAUAUCCUAAUCAACAUUCAAAUAUGUACAACUACCAUUAAAAAUCAUGAACACCAAAAUUCCAUUACUAACCAAUCCCUAAAACUUUAACAUUUUUAUAAUUCCAUCCUCGGGUUUAAUAGUUUAAGUUACAACGAGUUCAAAAACGUAAAAAUUAUUAAAAACAGGUAAGAGAAACACUUACAUGCACCAAUUUGCUAACCGAAACUUCAAGCUCCAAAAAUGGAGUUUUUUUUUUCUUUUUCGGUGGGAGAGAGUUGAGAAGAUGAUGAUACCAUUUUUUUCUUUUGUUUCUUUUCUUUAAUCAAACUAAUUACUAAAUUAUCCUUUUAAUCUAAACUAAAUUAUUAACAUAGCAUGUCCGUAAUUAUCCAUUAACUAACCAUAAGGUUUAUCUAUCAACCAAGUCCAUUACUUUAGUUUUUCUUUAAAAAUCAAGCACAUUUAACAAAUAGAAGCCACUUUAGCAUCUUUUACAAUUUAGACCUUUUUACUAAAUUAACUAAACAGACAUUAAAAUUUCUUAGCCAAAUUUUAUUAUGACUCCAAUAUAACUCUAUAAGCAUAAAAUAAACAUAAAAUACUAACUCAUUUGUCGAAAUUGUGGUCCUGAAACCACCUUUUUUGAUACCACUGAAAAAUGAGAUAUUACAUUAAAUCUCUAAUUUAUGAUAAUGAAUGUGAGAGAAUAAUUUUCUUUGUUUAGAAAUACUAAUCAUUUUCUUUGUUUAGUAAUACUACAACUAGAAUGUGUUUCGACCCUAUUAUUAGAAACUAAUAAUGGAAACCCAACUUUUAAUUAGAAACCUCUAAUUUUAAAGUUUAAUAGGUAACACCCCGAAUUUUGGCCCUAGAAGAAAUAUGUUUUGAACAAGGGAACAGUUAGGAGACUGCACAUAAAUAUUUAGUUGUGCAAGGAAGUGACAUAAAUGAAUGUCUACUUCAGUGGUUGAGUGAUUUAGGAGUGUUUGGAACUGUCUGAGAAGUCAGGGAUUCAAGCAUUGCUUAUGCAAAAUUUUUAUUUUAAGUGAAUAAAAUCAUUGGAUCUAGAUAGUAAGUUCUUAAAUUAUUGUGGUUAAAAUAUGAUGCAAAAGAGUUGUUGGUCUAGUGGUAAGGGGUGUGUGGAGUGCACAUAGGGCCUAAGGUUCGAGUGGUGGCGCAUCAGAAAGGAAAUAUUUAUUUUGCUACUUGAGCUGUUUAGGUAGUGGAGUUGGACUGAAACACAACUAAGGGGAGUUUGCAUAGAAUUUGAAUGGAGUUGUUGGGGGAGUUGAGGAGAAACCGGUAGAAUAAUUUAAGGAGGGAUAAGGGGAGAGAUUUUAGGAGAAAAUCAAGGGAAGUGAGGGGAGUGAAGAAGUGUGCCGAAAGUGGACUUUGAUACUCAGGAAAUUUGGCCAGAAGGGAUACUGCUCAUUUUGGUAUACUUUUCAUUUCGGUUUUGUGUAGUGUUUCUCUCUCUUUUUGCUUUUUGGUGCCGAAUUUUUGCUAAGAUUUCGAGUACCACUCGGGUUUUUCUUUUGCUGCUUUUUUCUUUUAUCAUUUCUUUUGUUUUGGCCGAAUUUCUUUUUAGUUCCCUCCUUUGUCGAAUUCUUUUCUCUCUUCUCUUUGUUGCUUCUUUUCAUUUCUCUAUUUUUCCAAACCUUGACCGAACAGUGUUGAAGUAGUUCUGUGUUCCAUCUUUUGUCUAAAAUGCUCUUCUUCCUCUACUCCUUUUGAUCAACUAUUUGUCGAAUAUUGCCUUCUCUCCCCUUUUAUCUCUUUAAAUUUAUUUUCGGCUUGACAACAAUUCUCUAACAGUUCAAAUUUCUUGAGGAGUGAAAAAGUAUCGCAUAAUAUUAAAGUCAUCGAAACCUUUCUCUCAUCACUCGAUCAAAGGUAAGUAUGUAGGCUAGCAUUCUAAAGUGUAGGCUGAGUGCUUUCUAUGGUUUCAUAAGUUAUUAUGUUUGGAUUUAAACCACAUGAAUAAACAAUCCUAUUUAAUAAAAUCCGUUUGUAAUGCAGAUAUCCAUCAAAGAGAUUGUAGUCAACCUUCGUCAGUGAUAUAAGUAGGCUAAGUCACAUUUGACAAUCGAGGCUUUGGUGCUCGUGGAUCUUAGAGUGUUUUCACAAUCAGGUGUGUAAACACCCCACUGUAACCGUAGAACGACAAAAAGCUAAAAGGCCAAAAAUACGGUGUUUGAGACCACACAGGCGUGCGAUCUCUCAUGUGGUAAGCCCAACCCACAAAUCAUGGCCGAUAGACUGUAGAGGCCUCCAUGAACAUUUCCAUGGGCUUAGGCCGUAAUGGGCCACGUUGGGCCGAAAUGGGUCGUGUGGGUUCAAUAGGCUCGUGGGCACCAUACAGAUGAGAACCACGAUUUGUGAAAAAUACUGGACUGGGCUAUGAAGAUCUCAUAGCCGUGGAAAAAUCUGGGCUGAACAGGCCGCACAAGCGUGCGGGCCUACUUGGGCCGAGUAAUGGGCCUUAGGCCCAUUUGUACCAUUAUGACCAUUUAGGUUACCUGAGUCGCUCGAGGUAACUACGGACCUUUCGAGAGGUCGAUAUCUGCACCAAGACCCAAAAUAGGUAAAAUGAUCGAAAUACCCCUAUAGAGUAAAAUGACCGAAAUACCCCCAAAGGAUAAAAUGAUUGAAAUACCCCUAUAAGGUAAAACGAUCGAAAUACCCCCGUAGGAUAAAAUAACUAUUAUACCCCUAGAAGAUGAAAUGACUGUUAUGGCCUUAUGCUAUGUAUGACUGUUUUGCUCUAUGAUAUGUAUGACUAUGGUUGAGCAUGACAUUUUUCAUACACGUAUGAUAUUAUGUCAUGAUAUAUUGCAUGGGGAUGGAUUGUUAUAUUUGGAGGAAGUGUACUGUACUGACAAGGUUGCACGGGUCGCCCAAGACGACUGUGGACCUACUGAUGGCUAUAUGCCAUUUAUUUUACUGGCAGCUUUGCUGCAAUACUGUUUAAUGCUGCAACUGGUGCUAAUCUUGGUGUGUUUGGAUGGAUGGGUAGAUUUUAUCCCCCAUAUGGUGUGUUUGGCGGAACUGUAACACCCUUAACCUGAAUCCAUUCUGACAUUGUCUCACAAAAUUUAUUAUAUCUCAUAGUUUACAAUUUUAUUACUUACACCAUUUCUUCCAUGAGAAACUAGACUCAAUAAGUUUUAAUUCUAUAUUUUAUUCAUACUCUAAUUCGAUUUUCAUAAUUUAUGGUGAUUUUUCAAAGUGAGCCUACUGUUGUUGUCCAAAACUAUUUUAGUACAAGAUGUUUAUUACCAUGUUUAUAACACCCUUAUUUUCUUUCUCUACACUAUUUCUCAUCCCUUUCUCUUAUUUUCUCUUCACUUACAUAUUAAGAACAUAGGACCAUAUAUACAAAAAAACUUUACACUAACAUCAUUUCCAUACUUUUUCAAUAAUAUCAAACUUAAAAAUAUACUAAAAUCUUGAUGUACUUACCUUGUCAUAUUGAUUUUAAUCUUUAACUUGAUUUUCUCUCUCCUCCAGCUUCUAUUUCUUGAAUCUAACUUGAUAUUAUAGCUCCCCAUAGUCUCCUUGUAAUCUUUCUCUCUUGAUGGAUAUGGAAAUUCUUUUGAUUUCUAGAUGAAAAUAGUGAAUUUUUGGUGAAAGGACUAAAUUGUAAAGAAAGCAAAACUUUCUUUCUUCUCUUCUCCUCUUAACGUGAAUUGCAUGGAAAAGAUGGUGGGUUGGUUCCUUUUCAUCUUUCUUUCCACAUAUAUAUACUAAAUAAUAAAAUAAUAAAAUAUCAUUUAAAAAUCAAAUUAAAAUACUAAUAAACUAAUAUUUAUUUGUUUAUUUAAUCUAAAAUAUCUCCAACAUCAUCAUUAUCUUCUAGAUUUCUCUCUCUUCUAAUUGACCAUUUUGCCCUUCAUGAUAUUUUAAAAUUCCAUCCUUGAGUCAUCACUUAAUUUCGUAAAAUUUCAAUUUAGUCCCUCAAAAUUCCUCACCUUUUUUCAAUUUAGUCCUAAUACAUCCAUUUUCCUUAGUUUCUAGAUCAUUCCACCCUUAAAAUAUUUACACCAUUGGUCCUUCAAUUUUUUCAUAUUUACACUUUAACCCCUCAAUUUUUGAGUAUUUACUCUUGGGCAACAAAAUUUUUACGAUUUAAUCCUUUCUUGAGGUAAUAUGUCAUAAUAUACUUCCCAAUGUUGACAUAACUCCAAAAUUCCCUUUUUUGUCGCUUUAUUUCCUUAUUUUUUUAUAUCAAAGAUAAUAUCUUACUGUAAAAAUUUUUUUGGGGGGUAUUACAUUUCUCUCCCCCUCAAAAUAAAUUUCGUCCUCGAAAUUUCCUUAUUUUCUUUUGAUCAUGAACUUAUUUUUUCUUUAAUUCUAUAGUUCAUUUUUUUUGCAUAUAUUUACUUAGCUUAUCAUUUGUGUCUAUUCUUUAUUCUUUCAUUUCACAAUUUAUUUUUAAUUUAAUAUUUCAAACAUGAAUCAGAGAUAAACUUUUACCUUGUAACUAAAAUUAUUUACCUUUUUACCUGAGGCCCAGUGGACUAAAUAGAACACGUAGGAUAUAUGAAAUUGAUACAGAAGUGCUCUGUUAUACAUCAUUAAACAGAGAGCACUAAAGUGUUAUACGGGAGCAUAAAUGUGCUAAUAAUUGGAGAGCACUAGCGUGCUAUUAAUCAGAGAGUGCGCUAAGGUUCCUUAAUGAUAUACUACUAAUAUCCUAAUAGUUCUAAUCUCAUCUACUUGGGCAAAUUAUAUCAUGCAUGCAUACGACUUUUACACUUUGCGCAUAAUGCUUUUACAUACUUUACAAUUUAAACCUUGUACCAAUGAUUCGUAUAUUUAUACCUUCUCUACCUUUAAUACAUGUAAUAUAUUUCAAAAUUCACUAAUAAUCCAUAUAUAUCAUGUACUUCAUAUAUCAUUUUUACAUAUUAUGCAAUUUAGUCAUCAGCGCAAUAUUUCUUGUAGCAAUAUGUUUUUCUUUUAAUGACACAUAUAACAUUCAUCAUCGACAUGUAUUAUAAAACAUUUAUUCAUACUUUCAUGAGUUCCAAUUCAUCCUAAUCAAUUUUUUUUACUCAUAUACUUGAGUAUCACUUUCAACAUUAUCAGAAUUAGCUCGGUUAGGAAAACAUCUCUGUUUAUAAGUAAAACAAUUCUCAUCAGACUCGAGAGAUAUCACACUAUCACAGGUUACAUAAUGGCAUGCAUUUCUAGACUUCACAUAAGCUACGUUUGGUCCAAGAACCGACUAAAUCGUAGCUCUGAUACCAAUAAAUGUAACACUCUUAACCCGAAUCCAUUCUGACAUUGUCUCACAAAAUUUAUUAUAUCUCAUAGUUUACAAUUCUAUUACUUACACCAUUUCUUCCAUGAGAAACUAGACUCAAUAAGCUUUAAUUCUAUAUUUUAUUCAUACUCUAAUUCGAUUUUCAUAAUUUAUGGUGAUUUUUCAAAGUGAGCCUACUGUUGCUGUCCAAAACUAUUUUAGUACAAGAUGUUUAUUACCAUGUUUAUAACACCCUUAUUUUCUUUCGCUACACUAUUUCUCAUCCCUUUCUCUUAUUUUCUGUUCACUAACGUAUUAAGAACAUAGGACCAUAUAUACAAAAACUUUACAUUAACAUCAUUUCCAUACUUUUUCAAUAAUAUCAAACUUAAAAAUAUACUAAAAUCUUGAUGUACUUACCUUGUCAUAUUGAUUUCAAUCUUUAACUUGAUUUUCUCUCUCCUCCAGCUUCUAUUUCUUGAAUCUAACUUGAUAUUAUAGCUCCCCAUAGUCUCCUUGUAAUCUUUCUCUCUUGAUGGAUAUGGAAAUUCUUUUGAUUUCUAGAUGAAAAUAGUGAAUUUUUGGUGGAAGGACUAAAUUGUAAAGAAAGCAAAACUUUCUUUCUUUUCUCCUCUUAACGUGAAUUGCAUGGAAAAGAUGGUAGGUUGGUUCCUUUUCAUCUUUCUUUCCACAUAUAUAUACUAAAUAAUAAAAUAAUAAAAUAUCAUUUAAAAAUCAAAUUAAAAUACUAAUAAACUAAUAUUUAUUUAUUUAUUUAAUCUAAAAUAUCUCCAACAUCAUCAUUAUCUUCUAGAUUUCUCUCUCUUCUAAUUGACCAUUUUGCCCUUCAUGAUAUUUUAAAAUUCCAUCCUUGAGUCAUCACUUAAUUUCGUAAAAUUGCAAUUUAGUCCCUCAAAAUUCUUCACCUUUUUUCAAUUUAGUCCUAAUACAUCCAUUUUCCUUAGUUUCUAUAUCAUCCCACCCUUAAAGUAUUUACACCAUUGGUCCUUCAACUUUUUCAUAUUUACACUUUAACCCCUCAAUUUUUGAGUAUUUACUCUUGGGCAACAAAAUUUUUACGAUUUAAUCAUUUCUUGAGGUAAUAUGUCAUAAUAUACUUCCCAAUGUUGACAUAACUCCAAAAUUUCCCUUUUUGUCGCUUUAUUUCCUUAUUUUUUUAUAUCAAAGAUAAUAUCUUAGUGUAAAAAAAAAUUUUUUGGGUAUUACAGGAACAGAGUGGUGUGUAGAGGCUGGAUUGGGUAGGAUUUCUAACUGCAUAUCUACACUAAUUAAUGAUUUUGUAUUGUUACUACAUCGAUUAAUGAUAUUACAUACUGUUUACUGCAUGACUGAUAUUUGUUGCUGUUAUGGGCCAAGGCCCCACUGAUACUAUUACUGAAAUUGGGCAAAUGCCCUAUUGAUUAUUGGUAUUGUGAUGGGCUCAAGCCCAAUCGUUUAAUGUUACGGGAAAGGGCUUAGGCCCACACUGAACUGGACUGUUACUAUAACAGGCUCAGGCCCAAACUGUAUUUAUCUAUUGUUUAAUUGACUACUUACUUGUUAGGGGAUUGCACACUGAGUUUUCGUAAACUCAACCCGUUGUUUAACUGUACAGGUAAUCCCUAGUUGUAGUAGGGUCAGUGCUGCGAGGGACUCGAUGAUGGCCACACAACUGCAUCAGCUUUUGUUUUUAGCCUUUGAUUUAUAAGAAACUGAAUUUGGGUAUUUUUAUGUAAAAAGGCCUCUUUAAAGUUAUAAACUUUAAAUUGGGGUUUUUAUUUAUUUAGUUUGAUAUAAACUACUAGUUGUAGAAAAAGACGGGUUUUCAAAAGGUAAAUGUUUUCAAAGUUUCAAAAGGUAAAUGUUUUCAAAGACACCACGUUUUCGCAACAUUUCUAAAAAAAAACUUCCGCAAUGAAUGAGAUUUUGGAAAAUUUAUAACGUUUUAAAAGUGAUUAGCUUUUAAUGAUGCAUGCUUGGAAAUGAACAACCCGUUUUGGAAUCAUAGUUUAACAGCAAAAUGAUUAAUUGAUUUUAAAGAUUUCAACGACAACAAGUUUUACGCUAAACACCUUAAAGUGACACCGCCAGAUUCAACCAUAACUCCUAGGCCGGGUUUGGGGUGUUACAAUGUGUUUCAACCCUAUUAUUAGAAACUGAUACCCUAUUAUUAGAAACUGAUAAUGGAAACACAACUUUUAAUUAGAAACCUCUAAUUUUAAAAUUCAAUAGGUAAAAGCAAGUUAUCGUUAAGUGCCUGUGAUACGCUAGUAAAACUCAUUCUAGAAAAAAAAGUUUAAUGGAAACAAUUGUUAUCCAUUGCGUAUAGAGGAUGAAUUUGAAUACUAUUAAUUAAGUUCAUUGUUUAUUGUUUAAAUGUCUAAAGUAAGGGAGACAUUAAAAGAACUCUACCUUUAUAAACAUAAGAAGUGGUGCCACUUCAACAAGUAAAGGUAGGGUCUCUCUUGUAAAUGUUUAUUAUGAACAAGAUAAGCACAUGAUCAUUUUAGUGCUAAAAGUGAACAACCUCUGAUAGAAAUAUAAACGAAUAUUAUGUAUAGUGUAUUUCAACUUCUAAUACUAGGAGUUGUGGUUCAAUCUUCGGACACCGACAACUUAUUAAAACUUUGAAAAGCAUCCGCUUAUUGAUGGUUCAUAUUGAGAGGUAUCAUCUUUAAUGCAUAAUAUUUGUUUGAGUGAAUGACCAUAAAGUAUGGUACCAACAUUUAAACUAAGGGUGAUUGUUAGUAGUUUAUAAUUUUGGCAGUAAAAAUAUUUUAUUAUGUAGAAAAGUCUAAUAAAUUAUAAUUAUUGGUCAAAUAGUUGUGUUGUAAAGACAAUUUUUGUAUGUAAAGUUGUCUUAUAAACUUUAUGUAAAGUUGUGUUGUAAAACAACAAAAUUAUAUGAAAAUGUAUCUUAUUAAAAGAUACAUCCAUAUGAAAGGGUAUCUCAUGAAAAGAUACACCUAUUAGAUGUCUAUAUAAAAGAUUUUUCUGUUAGUUAUUUAAAUUGUUUUGCUUGGAGUGUUGAGGGCUUUGUUGUAUCUUGAAGGUAUUUUAAAAUCUUAAAGAAAGUGCUCUACACACCUUAAAGUCAUUAUAUUUUAUAACAUUAUUUUAUUUUUCUAACUUUUAUUUUCCUAUUAUUUAUUUUUCUAACAGCUAGAAUAUAGGAAAAUUAUUAUGUUUCUAGCUAUAUAUUGAAUACAAGUAUGUUGGUGUUUAGAACUCGAACUUUGAUGGUUGAUCGAGAGAUUUGAAGCAGAAAGAAGAGACGGGAAGUUUUAAGUAGAAAAAUAAUUGAAGACUGGAAUAUAUAAUUGAUUUGCACCUCAACUAUUUAAAUACAAAAGUUCAAGCUAAAAAUAGAAAAAAAAAGUUCUAAAAAUCUGCUAAAAAUCUGGUAACAAAAUAGCAAACAAAUCAAAAAUCUAAUCUCCUAAAGUCAAGGAGAAUUAUUCAAACUUAGUAACAGAAAAAAUUUAAAUGGCAGCAAUCUUAAACACAUGAUCUUAACACUCCUCCUUGUUUAGAUGCUACAAACUCCAAGUUUCUUCCUGAAGCUUUCAAACUUGCUAAGUGGCAAUGGUUUGGUGAAGAUAUCUGCAAUUUGAUCUUCAGAUUUGUAGUAACAAAGAGACACAUCACCACUCUUUUAAACUUCUCGAACAAAAAAUAACUUGAUGUUAAAAUGCUUAGUCUUCCCAUGAAAGACUGGAUUGUUAGAGAUUGCAAUGGCAGCCUGGUUAUCAACUAGAAUCUUUGUGCUUUGCUUCUACUCCAUGUUUAGAUCAACAAGAAUCUUCCUUAACCAGAGAGCUUGGUUAACUGUUGCUGUUGCAGCCAUAAAUUCUGCCUCAACAGUGGAUUGAGCUACAGUUUCUUGCUUCUUCGAGCUCCAAGAGAACAUGCCUGAUCCAAGGCAAAAACAAUAACCAGAGGUACUCUUCAUAUCAUCAGUUAAGCCACCCCAAUCACUGUUAGAGAAACCAAUCAACUUCAAUUCCCUAUGCUUUAAAAACUUUACUCCAUAAUUCCAGGUCCCCUUGAUGUAUCUGAUAACUCUUUUUGCAGCUCUCAUGUGAGUCUCAUUGGGACAAUGCAUGAAUCUGGAGAGAAUACUUACAGCAUUCAAGAUGUCGAGUCUGGUUGUUGUUAAGUACAUUAGACAACCUACCAAACUCCUGAACUCAGCUUCAAUGACUUUGGCAGAACCAUCAUCUUUGAUUAGCUUCUCUUUUUGAUUCAUAGGAGUACUCAUUGCUUUGCAAUCUUCCAUAUGGAAUUUUCUAAGUAUCUCCUUUGCAUACUUUCUUUGACAGAUGAACACUUCAUCUUGGCUUUAUUUGAUCUCAAUGCCAAGGAAAUAAGACAUCAGAUCAAGGUCUGUCAUUUCGAAGACAUUAUGCAUUUCCAAUUUAAACUGAUUAACUUGAUCGAUAUUGCUCCUUGUAAUCAAUAAGUACAAAUAAGCAAGCUUUUUCCUUUGAUUUCCUUAUCUUCUUUUCUUUUUGUGCUUUAAUCUGUGCCACAGUAGGAUUUGCUGGAAGAGGUGGGACCUCGUAAUCCUCUUCUACAGGUUCCCAAAGAUCCAAAGCCUCUAUGUAAGUCUCCAUGCGAACUGCCUACAUCUGGUAAUUGUCUCCAUCGAAGACUGGUGGUGCAGCAACUGAAAAACUGGACCCUCCUUCCAUAUUAACACGCAAAUAACCUAACAAAUCCCUCAAGAAAAUAGCUCUGAUACCAAUUUGUUGGUGUUUAGAACUCGAACUUUGAUGGUUGAUCGAGAGAUUUGAAGCAGAAAGAAGAGACGGGAAGUUUUAAGUAGAAAAAUAAUUGAAGACUGGAAUAUAUAAUUGAUUUGCACCUCAACUAUUUAAAUACAAAAGUUCAAGCUAAAAAUAGAAAAAAAAUGUUUUAAAAAUCUGCUAAAAAUCUGGUAACAAAAUAGCAAACAAAUAAAAAAUCUAAUCUCCUAAAAUCAAGAAGAAUUAUUCAAACUUAGUAACAGAAAAAAUUUAAAUGGCAGCAAUCUUAAACCCAUGAUCUUAACAAAGUACUACUUGGAAGCCAACACCCACAAACAUGAUAAAAGUUAAUUUUGAUGAGAGUUUUGACAUGGAAGCAAGAAAUGAGGAAGAGGGUAGUUAUGCAGCAUUGUGAUGAUUUUUUAGUCUGACUAUGCAACCAUCCAAUUUAGGGUGCAUUCUCCAUUGUGGUGAAAAAGCACUUAAAGAACAUUUGGUUUUUGCACUUAAAAUGUGAUGGAAAAAUGUUUUUCCACCCAAAUACAAAAACUAGGAUAUAAAUGUUUUUGACUUUUAGCUUUUAUGUUUGGAAGUGAAAAUUAUCAAAAUAUCAUUAUUUAUAUUAACUAUUUAAAUGGUAUAUAAAAAUUAGAUUAAUUUAUAUUUUAUAUAUCAUUAUAUUAAAUUAUUUAAAUAUUAUUUAUUAUUAUAUAUUUUAAUAAUUUAUAUAUCAUCUAUUUUACAAAUAAUUUAUAUUAAUUACUUAAAAAAUAUUUGGAACUUAUAUUUCAUGUAUCAUUAUAUUAAAUUAUUUAAAUAUCACAUAAUUUAACUAAUUUUUUACUUUCCACUAUCAUGUCUAAAGAAAAGGAUAUUUUAACUUUUAACAAGAAUUUUUUGUAGCAAUGGAGAACACCAAAAAUUAAUAAACACACUUUUUCAUAGUAAUUUUCAACCACACUUUUCAACCGCAACCCUAAUGAAGAAUUAAUCCUUACUAAAGUUACCGAAGCACUAGCUUCCACCGUAGCCAUUGAAAUGGCGCUCCAAUUGGGAUUGCAACACAUUAUUAUUAAAGGAGAUGCUCUCCAAGUGGUUUCGGAGUUGAAGGAAGACAAAGGAGACCUACCAACAACCGGACCUUGAUAGCAAAGAGUUGAAUACUUGCUAAACAGGUUCAGCAAUGUAGGUUUCAACACAGGAAGAGGCAUGCUAAUGAGGUGGCACAUCAUCUGACCAAACAGGGCCUUAAUUGUUUUCCAUCUUUUGUUCAUAUGUUUGUUUUGAAAAGGUAAAACAAAUCCUCACCUAUUGAUGUUAGAACGGUUGAAUUGCUAAAAGCAUGCUGCAUGCAUAACCAUGCUUUAGGUUAGGCUUCAAAUUAAAUAAAUUUUAAAUUAUUUUUAUUUAAAUUUAAUUAUAAAAAUAAAUUAAUAUCAAUAGAAAAUUAUAUAAAAUUUUAAGAUAUUUUAUUUUUCAAUAAUAAAACGAAUCAUUCACCAAACCUAAUUCUUCAAUUUCUUUUUAAUUAGAUCACAACUCAAGCCAAGCUAACCAAUAAACACCCAAAAUCUACCAUCAUUUUCAUUUUCAUUUUUUUUUCUUUUGUGACAAAGUAGACAGAAGAUUCGGUUUGGAUAAGCUCUACGUUAUUAAGUCAAAAGCUGAAGUAAUUUUAAUCAUAAAUUGUUUUAUUUGUCUAUAAUGCAAAACAAUGACCCAGUUAGUACAAUAAAGCUUUAACUUUGUGGAACAUUUCAGUCCAAAAAAAAAAAAAAAAAGAAUUGUGGAAAUUUUAGAGCAGUUGACCAUUUCUUCGGAAUUAGUUUUCUCACUUCUUGUCCAUAUUCCAUGUAUAUUAUUUCAAGAAAUUAGGUUUAGAAAUUUGCAUAAUUCAACCAUUGAACUAAUAAAUAUUAAACAAAAAUUGGGUGGCAAAAAAAAUCUUAUUAAAAUCAUAUACUAUUACUAAAAUUUAUGAUUAAAUUAGUGUCACGAGUUAACGGGACAUUAACAAAUUAUAUUAUUUGAGGGUAUUUUAAUCUUUUUAUUAAAAAAGAUGAUGUCUCAAAUUAACUCACAAUCUAAUCUAAUUUUUCAUUUUAAUAUUGUAAAUAUUUCAUGUUUUAUUAUUAAUUUGUUUCAAAUUAUACAUUUCAUUAUUUAUUUUAUGUUAUUUUUAAACACAUCUGUAUUCUAAGUACCUAAUUUUCACUUAUGGGUAUCAGAGGCGAAUCUAGGGAGGCUGAUAGGGGUCUCGGUCCCCUUAAAAUAGAAAAUUAUUAUUUAAGCCAUUUAGAAAAUUUUAAAAUUUUAAAUUAGUAAAUGUAAAAUUACACUUUGACCCCUCUAAAAUUAUAAAAAUUUGAUUUAAUCCUUUAAAAAUUAUAAAGAUAUAAACUAUUAAAAAUAAAAAUUUCAUUUCGGCCCUGCCUAAAAAAUUUUUUUGACUUCACCCCUAAAGUAUGAUAGAGUUUCUAGUAUGAAUAAUUUUCUUUGGAAGUGUUAAACAAACAAAGGAGUUAAGUAAACAGUAGUUUUCAUACAGAAAUAUUCGGCGUUGAUGUUUCCCUUUCGAAUAAUUAAAUUAAGACUUAGGAAAAGGGAAAACAAUGAAAAAGAAACUAAAAUUGAGCUUAAUUUAUGGAGUUGGGUUAAAAUUUUAAUAUUUAAAUAUAAAAAUUCUAAUAAUUUGAUCUGGUCCGUUUCAUCUAGCAGACUAAUAAUAAAUCUUAAAACAUAUUAUAUUUUAAUUUAAAUAAAACCAAAACUAAUACACUUGACCUACAUCUACAUGUGAUCUAUGCUUCAUUUAAAUUAGUCUAAAUUAGACGAGAUCUUGAUUAGGAGUCAUUUAUUUAUAUUAUAAGUCCCUGAAACAUGCAAAACUUACAUUUAAAAAUUAAUAUUUUUACGUUGUUGUUAGAAUAUAGGGUUUGUUAAUGUUUUCGUGUGAAGUCAGCUGUUGACAUUACCAAUCAGAUAAUGAAAAGGAAACAUGGCAAUUAUUCCAUCCUAAUUGUCACCAAAUUAAGUUAAUCCAAAAAUUACCAAACGUUUAGUACUUCAAUGGUAGAGUCAGCUCUUUCUUCUAGUCUAUCAAAAAAAGUCAAUUUAACCCCUAACUCUUGGAUGGAAAAGUUUUUGCUAUGAACUUGUUGAAGUGAAUCUCAUGUGAUAUAAACGCAUCGCAAUCUCCGUGUGUAACUAAAAAUAUUUGAGAGAUUGAAUAAUUUAAAGGGGAAAAAAAAAGAAUUUACUCCCUCCACUAACAAAUUACUCUUGCCAACGUAUGUAUGAAAGUAAACACCUUUAAUUAAUCAACAAAUGCUAAAGUUCGAGGUUUAGAAUUAAUUAAAUACCAAUAUAAAUAGUUAAUUACUUUUUUGAAAUAAGGAUAAAUCAGUUUGUGAGGUUUGAAUUUUUUGUAUCUUAACAAUUGUUCUGACUUUAGAGUUUGAAGGUUUUUUUUUUAUCCAAAUUAACCUAUGAACUUAGUAAUUUGUCUCUCAUUAAGGUUUAAAUUUUUUAUUUAUCUAAGUUAAUUCUUAAAAAUCUUGAAAUUCGAGAAUAAUUGUCAAGUUAAAAAAAUUUAGAUUUCAAUAUGAGAAUAAUCUACUAGUUCGUAACCUUAAUAUAAAAACAAUUGUUAAGUUGAAAACUUAAUUUAAAAACAAAUUCAAACCCUUCUUAAGUUUACGAUUUAACCCUUUGAAAUAUUGCGUUAACUAGUAAGAGUAAGAAUUAUUUUGUGUUGAUGAUUAAAUAAAUAUUUAAGUGGAGAUCAAGUUUUACCUCAUUUGUCAAUUGUCAGGUGAAGAAUAUAUACCCCUAAAGGCCUAUCAAAAACGGACCUAUCUCUAUCUAUAUAUCUUAACUAAUUUACUAUUCAUUUUUAAUGAAAAUCAAUAAAUCAAUGAAAACGUUAUAAAAAGAAAACUACGUGAAUAAAUUAUAUGUGUAAAAUUGAAAUAUUUCUUAUUUUAGUACAAUGGUAAGGAACAUUACAUUUUUAAGGAAAUGAUGUCAGGUUCAAACCUUAAAGAUAAUAUUCUUCUUCUUGAGAAGAACAAUCCCAAACUCCAAAAUGAACCCUUAUGAAUUAUAUAAAAAAAUUUUGAAAUAUUUCUAUAAAAUAUCAUUAAAGUUUUUUAUUUAAAAAAUGUUAUGGGUAUACUUUUACCUCUUGUAAAAAAGUCUUUCAUUUCUCAAUUCUUAUGGCAUAGUAAAUUUAUCAUUAAUUUUCAUCUUUAGGUAAAAAAAAUGGUUAUUAUUUGUGUAUUAAAUAAUUGUUAGGAUAAAUUUUAAAAUUGUAUAUGAAUUUUGGUUUAAUGUUAAUUAUAUACAUUAAUUUUAAUUUUAUGUAAUUUUAUAAAUGAAAUUUUAAUUUGAUCCAAUUCUAACAAAUUAUUAACACAGUUAUUGAUAUAACAUCAUUUUAUGUUUAUAUGCUAUAUACAGAAAUAAUUAUGUUUAUUCAAUAUAAAAAUAAAUUGAUGUAUUUAUUUCUUUAAACAUAUAUGAUUGAAUCAAAAUUAAAACAUCGUGUAUAUAUUUGAACCACAAUUAAAAUUUUACAUAUAAAAUUACAUAAAAUUACAAUUUAUAUACGUAAUAAACUAAAAUUCAUAUAUAAUUUUAAGAUUUAUGUCCACAAUUCUCUAAAGCUAAACGGUGAUGAUUACCAUGGAAAUUCAAUGUACUUAACUAAUUGGUUGAUAGGAACAGGCAUGAUGAAAUCCAUGAUGGGAAGAGAGAGAAUUCAAAAACUGGAAUGCCCCCAUUAAUCCAUGCAAAUAAACUUUUUCGGUAUUACAUCAUAAUUCAUUUAAUUUUAUCAUCAUCUCUAUGCCAUAACCAUGUUUAAAGUAAAAUACUUAUAUAAAUUGAGACAUUAAUAGUUUGUAUUAUAUAAAUUAUGACAUCCAUAUAUCCAUAUUAUAAUUUUUAUGAAAAAUUAGAGCUGGCAGAUAAAAAAUGGCUUACUGAUCAAUGAAAAAUAAACUUUAUUUCUUGUAAAUUGACUUAUCCUUUUAAAAAGUAUAAAUAUUUUUUUAAAAUUCAUUUAUGAGUAAUUUUAUUAUUAUAAAAAUUAAUUUUGCAAAGUCUAAUAUUAUUAUAUUAAUAAUUUUAUUUUAAAACUAUUUAAAAAUACUAAUAUCAAAUAUUAUAAUGUUGAAUCCUAGUAACAUACAUAUUAAAUUAUUUAAAUUAUGUAAUAUUGCAAUUUUAUUUUAAUACUAAAUUUUAACAACAAUAAUUUUAAAUUUUAGAUCAUAUUUUUAAUAUAUUAUUGAAAAAUAUUUAUAUUAAUAUUUUAAUAAUAAAUAUAUAUAUUAAAAUUUAUAAAUAUUUAAUAAUAAAUGUUUUAUAGUAUAAAAUAUGAAUAUUUUAAUUAUAUAGAUAUGAGCAUUUGUUUAAAUCAUGUUUAGUUUCAUUUAUCUCCCAACUAUAAUGUGUUAUUAUACACCGUCAUAUAUAUAAUAUAUGUAAUUUAAGCAUUGUUUAUUAUUAAAUUUAUAUAUGAUAUUAAUUAUUAUAAAAUAUUAUCUUAUUAUAAAAGAAAUUCUAAUUAUCAAAAAGAAAUGUUACUUUAAUAUUUUGUAACAAGUAUAUUUAUGUUGGGCUUGUUUCAAUAAUAACUUUAAAAUGAUUUUAGAAAAAAAAUUGUCAAAUAAUAAAAAAAUAUUUUAAGCAAAAUAAUUCAAACACAAAAAACUAUCAACUUUUCCAUAAAAUCAAUCCAAUUUUAAGAAAACAUUUUGUGAAAAUUGUUUUAGGUAAAACAAAAGGAACCUAUAUUUUAUAUAGUAUUUGAAAAGUUGUUGUAUCUAGAAUUAUUAUCUUAAAUAUUUUUUUAGGUCUAAUUUUAAAUUUCAUCCCUUUAUGAAAAUUGAGAAGUUAAAUUUUCUAUUUUACUUUAUCAGUCUGUGCUUGAUUGUUUAUUAAUUUGUCGUGUAUAAAUGGUUAAAUUAUUGAUUUUUGUUAAUUACUAGCAUGUAAAUUGUCAAACUACUUGUUCUCAAGGGAACGGUAAAGUUUAAUAGUAUUAUCAAUUUAGAACAAUUUUUGAGUUUUUUCUUUUAUUUUUCAUGUUCGAGUCCAUAAUUACUCCUUCUAAUAAUGUCGUCUUUAAAGUUUGAGUUCGAAUUCAAAUUCUCUUUUUGGAAGUACAAUAUGCCUUAUAAUUAUACCUAAUACUUUUGAUUUUUGUAAAAUAUAAGAAUCAAAAUUGUGUAGUAGGAUUAAUUUCUAGAUUUUUUAAAUUUAAAAUUUAUAAUAUUAUCAAUCGCAUCACACACAAAACCAAAGAACAAGAGAAUCUAAAAAACACGUGGACCAUUAAUUUAGGAAUGGACAUUAUAUUUUAUUAGUGGAAUAAACUCAUGCAAAAUGGUUGGAAAACACAUACAGGAUUAUAUAUACUAAUCAUUUUUAUUAUUAAGCAGAAUCGGAAAUAAAUAAAUACGAGCGAAACCACUGAAUAAUACAGCAUUGAAAUGCAAUUUGUCUACAUCAUUAUUGUUCUUCACUUCAAACGCGGAGACUAGUCUAGGCUCCCAAUCUUUUGCUUUAUCUCUCUAGAUAUAUCCUUUUCAAACUAUCUUUUUGUAGCUUUAUUUGCAUCACAGCAUUAUCUUUUCCUGCAAACAACUGUUCAAUGAUUAAAACAUGCAAAACAUUCUGAAAUAAUGCACCCUUACCAGAUGACAAAAAAAAAAAAAGAUUCUAAUGUAUCUUACCUUGGAUUGGAGCACGGUCAAAGCCGUGGCUUAGUAGUGGUGAGGAGGAGGGGGUGAAGCGUAGACAUAAUGGGGUGGUGGUGGUGGAGGAGACUUGUAUUUGUAAACUGGAGGAGGAGGUGGUGGAGACUUGUACUUGUAAGGGUGCUUGGGGGGUGAUGGUGGGGGUGGUGGGGGUGACUUGUACUUGUAGGGGUGCUUGGGUGGUGACGGUGGGGGUGGGGACUUGUACUUGUAAGGAUGCUUGGGGGGUGAUGGUGGUGGUGGUGGAGGUGACUUGUACUUGUAGGGGUGCUUGGGUGGUGACGGUGGGGGUGGGGACUUGUACUUGUAAGGGUGCUUGGGUGGUGACGGUGGUGGUGGUGGGGGGGACUUGUACUUGUAGGGAUGCUUUGGUGGGGAUGGUGGUGGUGGUGGUGGGGACUUGUACUUGUAGGGAUGCUUAGGUGGUGAUGGUGGUGGUGGUGGAGACUUGUAUUUGUAAGGAUGCUUUGGUGGUGAUGGUGGUGGAGGUGGUGGGGACUUGUACUUGUAAGGGUGCUUGGGUGGUGAUGGAGGUGGAGGUGGUGGAGACUUAUACUUGUAAACUGGAGGUGGUGGGGGUGGAGACUUGUACUUGUAAGGGUGCUUGGGUGGUGACGGAGGUGGAGGUGGUGGAGACUUAUACUUGUAAACUGGAGGUGGUGGGGGUGGAGACUUGUACUUGUAAGGGUGCUUGGGUGGUGAUGGUGGGGGUGGGGGUGGCGACUUGUACUUGUAGGGGUGUUUAGGUGGUGAUGGUGGUGGUGGUGGUGGUGGUGGGGACUUGUACUUGUAAGGAUGCUUGGGUGGUGAUGGUGGUGGAGGAGACUUGUACUUGUAAGGAUGCUUGGGUGGUGAUGGUGGUGGAGGUGGUGGAGACUUAUACUUGUAAACAGGAGUUGGUGGGGGAGGAGAUUUGUACUUGUAAGGUUUCUUGUGUGGUGGUGGUGGUGGAGGAGAGUAGAUCGGAGGAGGCGGUGGGGGAGACUUGUAAUGGUAGG
rnacentral:lncRNA from 1 species